rnacentral:lncRNA from 1 species
UUUCAGUUUUGUUUGCGUUUUCUUGAUUAUCCUAUUAGCAUGUUCAGUGUUUUUUCUUACAUCUUUUGGCUUUUCCCUUUUAUUUUUAUUUUCCCCACUUUUCUUUACUUUUCCAUUUUCUUUCUCUACAGAUUUGCCGUGUCAUAGAAAUAUACACAUUUAUUGAGAAAUGCAUGAGUUUUUCUAAAUUACAUUACCACGUUUUGAAAUCACAUGAGCAUUUUUUAAGUACAUGAACACUUAUUAAAAUAAUAAUAAUAUCCUUUUCAAACAGGACAACAUCUUUAAUUUACAUGAUGUUGUGUCAUAGAAAACAUUUUAAAAGUAGAUGAUUUUUCUAUAAAAAGGCAUGAUUUUUUUAGAAAAUUAUAUUAAUAUUUUUUAAUAUACACGGACAUUGUUUCAAUUGCAUUACGUUUUAUUUAAAAAAUGAAAAACAUUUAAACCUAAUAUUUUUUAUGUGUAAAUAAAUUUACAAAAAAUGAAUAUUUUUAUCCUCUUUAUUACAGAUUGGAUUAUAAUUUUUAUAUAUAUUUUUAAACAAUUAAGAAAGCAAAAAAAGAGAGAGGAAAAUGUACCUACGUGAAUGGGCCGCAGUGGCCGCGCCCCAUGUAAGUCAUGUGUGGUCGACUGCGGUGAGGACAUGGCGACAUCAACAUCGGCAGGGAGACGACGAUUCAAACGGUGCCGGUCGAUGUAUCAUCGAGGUGGAUGGCGGCAAUGAUGAGGGCAGACGGGGAUGCCAGGGUAGGGGUGAAGGUGUGUGUUUCGUGGACUAUUUGACACAACAGGCUAAAAAAGGAAAACCAUUUUAAGAGAAGUGAGCAAAGUUGGAGCUCAGAAGGGAAAGCUUUGGUCGUGGGCUGGGCAAAGUGAUAAGCUCUGACUAGCAGGCCUUGUUAGAAGUAGGCUUCACGCAGGGCCCACGGUGGGCCGCGCACACGGAUCCUAUCCAUUCUCACCGCGCCCACUGCCGCCGACGAUAACGCCGGCCGCCGCCCACCACUUCCGCCAUCCCGUCCGCUCCCAACGGUAGCAAGAAUGUGCAGGUUUCCCCAACCCAUCAGCAACCUCAACCGCAGCCGGUUUCCCCAACCCACCAACAGCAGCCGACAGGGAGCUAAUCCCCGGCUGUCGUUCUACACGUCGGUGACUGGAUCGGCGGUCAGGCAGCAGCAGUCCGCCGCCCCGUCCACACAGACGGCAGCAAGCAGCAGCAGCAUCUCCUCAAAUUUUCAAGAUCUGGAGGUACAUUGCUUAGAUUUUCGAUCCCUCUCACAAUACCUGAUUUAGUUUGUUAUUACACUGAAAUAAGUGCAGCUCGAUUUGAUGUGGAUGUGGUGACAUUUUAUCUGAUCUGCAGAUGGGAUAAGUGAAAUAUGUGAAUGUGGAUCACAUUCACUUUAUGCUUGAAAGGAAUAACUCCGUUGGGCACAUUGACAUCGCCUCUGCUAGCCUACAUAUCACAUUCAGAUGGGGACGGAUUGCAAUGCAGAGAAAUAUGGGAGUGGAGACCGGAUAAUUCAGGUAAUCAACAGAGUAUUGAAUUGUACACAAUCGCUGUUCGCAACUUAUGGAGAUAAAAUAUGAGAGUGGCUCUUAAACAUUAAAAUACAAGUCCAACCGUGAAUCGUGUAUCUUGCAAAUAACCAGUAGAGUACUAUUACAUGCUAGUGACCCGUGAUUAUUCAUACAUCUCCAGACCUAAUAUGGACUGAAAGUAUCGAAACGCAGUGUUGACAGAGUCUGCUAGUCCCUGUUUUGAUUAUGGCAUGAGUUCGUUUUCAGAUGAGACGAAAGGCUUGGGGGGCAUCUGCAGACUCUGCAGCCUCCCUGUUAGCAUGUUAACAACCUUCGUCAUCGACGGACGGUUUCUCGGGUUCCACUGGAUGCACCAUAGCCACCAGCAGUCCGCCGCCCCGUCCACACAGACGGCAGCAAGCUGCAGCAGCGCUUCGAUUCAUCUCCUCAGAUGUUCAAGAUCUGGAGGUACUAAUGCAGACAACUAGUAGAGUACUAUUACAUGGUAUCCAGACAUAAUAUGGACUGAAACUAUUGAAACGUUGUGUUGACAGAGUAUGGUAGUCCCUGAAUGUUGACAGAGUAUGGCAGUCCCUGUUUUCAUUUAUGGCAUAGGUUCAUUUUUAUAUGAGACGAAAGGCUUCGGGGGCAUCUGCAGACUCUGAAGCCUCCCUGUUAGCAUGUUAACGACCUUUGUCAUCGACGGCCGGUUUCUUGGGUUCCACUGGAUACACCACAGUGCCACCAUAGCCAGCUUCCUCACCUUUUCUUUAUCUUCUUCAGUGGUUUCCAAAGUAAGCGCCAACUCCUCCCCAUUGAUCACUUUCUCGUAGAUCCACUCUGGGAGGUAAACAUCGUCCUGGCUCCCGAUUCUUGGGUCUGAAUUCCUCCUCCCACUUACCAUUUCUAGCACCAGCAUGCCGAAACUGUACACGUCUGACUUGUACGAUACCCCCCCAAAGUUCCGAGAGUAUAGCUCUGGUGCAAUGUAGCCCAUUGUGCCUCUUGCUGCAGUUAAGGUCACGAUGCUUUGGUCCCUUGCACACAACUUUGCAAGGCCAAAGUCUGAGAUCUUUGGAUUGAAGUUGUAGUCCAGCAGGAUAUUGUGAGGCUUGAUGUCAAAGUGGAGGAUGCGCUGGUUGCACCCUUGAUGCAAGUACUCCAUUCCCCUGGCGAUGCCUAAAGCAAUAUCUAGCAGCUUGUCUGGUACUAGAAGAUUCUGAAAAAUAUUAGAGUCAUCAGAGAAUAUGUAUUUCUCUAGUGACUCAUUAGGCAUGAAUUCGUAAAUAAGAGCCCGUCUCAUUCCUUCGGAACAAAAUCCUAGGAGACGGACAAUAUUGGCAUGGUGGAUUAGUCCGAUGGUUGCAACUUCAUUGAUGAACACCUCUCCCUCUCCAGUAGAGUUCUCUAGCAUCUUGACUGCCACGGGCACUCCAUUUUGUAACUCGCCUUUGUAUACACUUCCAAAUCCUCCCUGCCCUACUUUUUCCUUAAACCGUCUUGCCAUCUUCUUAACUUCGGAGAAAGUGUACCUCGUGGGUUUUGAUGUUCCAUAUGUCUUGAGGAACAUUUCAACCUUCAAAUGUAUCUCUGCAUUAUAUCUUGUCUUGAGUGAAAGAUAAAGCACAGUGGCCACCGUCACCAAAAGAACGACAAAUGCGGCCACCGAUGAUGUAGCUGAAUAAGCAAACAAUACGUCAUCAGCACAUUGCACCAGGGCUUAAAAGCCGUUAUUUAGUACUAUUUGUUAUGAUAAGAGGAUGUCAAGAGUCAGAGUAACCAGCAAUAUGAAUUUGUACAACAGAAAGCUUUUAUUUUUUCCUUUAUAUUUUGAAGCUAAAAAGACUUGGUUGGAGCAGUACCUGCAAUGACUUUGAUACGUGAACCUGCAAAUACCAAGAAAGAGAAUGAGAUAAAAAGCAAGGAAUUAUAUUUACAAACAAAUCUAGAACAGACAAAUUGAGUGUUGUCUACGGUGGCUGCAGUACAUUACCCUAGUAUAUGAGGAACAAACAUACGAUGCUAUUUAUGCCUUUUCUAGAAGAGAGAGAAAAAAUCUGUCACAACUUAUCAAACAAAUUUACUUUUUGGGGAAACUUAUAUUGCUUUGGUUCUAUCUAUGAUAGUGCCACUGGCCUAUUAGUUUUUUUUUACAUUUUUGUCAUGCACACAGCAGUUAGAGUCAACUGAAGGCCUUUUUCUGACUGGGCAACUUUUGUUCAGAAAAUGCCUGCAGUCACAUGCAUGUGCGCCCAGCGGCGGUCGCCUUGCUGCACCAUAGCCAAUCCUCCUCCUUUUCCGUUUCCACGCUCUGAAAUCAGAGCUGUAGCCUUCGCCAUUGGUGGAAACAAGGUCUCACAUUGGCGGAACAGAGCAGAGGGUUGCCACCUUUGUCCACAUAUUAUUACCUUCGAGUAACCGUCCACUCCAGCCUCUUACGCUGAUCCAGUGCCAUUGCUAGUUAUGUUUCAGUCGUGUUAAGCACCCCUCCUAUAGAGAUAAGCACUGGUGCUAGAGAAAAACUCGGUUUGUUUUACUAAGCACCUUGCAUUGUACAAGGCCUUACUCUGCUCUGUCCUCCCUGAUUCAUUCGCCCAAAAUACCUAGCUAGCUCGCCACUCGCUCAGGUACAGCCAUGCAUGUCAAUUGAGUGUUGCAUAGCAAAUUGUAGAAUAAAUAAUGUCCAAAAGAGUUUGGAUUAUUUAAAGCCAGUAGUGUCUGAUAGAUGAACGCAACUUUUUUUUUUCUAUUUGAUUAUUUCUGGGAUUUUUUUUCUGGGUACUUCAGUGUGAUUUCUCGAGCAGGAUUUGUGAUGCUAAUUUUGAAAGAAAAAUAGUUGACAGAAAGCCUCAUACUCUCAUGGAGAUUCGAACAUAUGGGAAGUAGAAUAAGUAAAUUGUAAAGUAAUUGACUACGCAACUUUUUUACAGAAUAAAACAGGAUGAUGUUAUAUAUGGUUUUGACUGUUAUAACUGAACAUACCAUGAGGGUCAGGUAUGCAGAAUUGUUCCUUCCUUUCUGAGCUGAACGCGCAGCGUUGCCCACUGAGUUCACAUUGCCUGCAAUUGCCACCAAACCAAUACACUGUCGUCUCAGCAAAACUGAGCAUUCUUUCUAUGCGUUCCUUGAAGGACAGUGAGAAGGGCGUGUAUGACAUUGGGUCCUCAAACAUAUACAUUGGUAUCAGCCGGCCACUGACGCCAUCUGAGAUUGGGAAAACCUUGCAGUCCAAUGGAAGACUGGACAUGGCUUUAUAACCAGACACCAAAUAAAAGAAGUGGGUUGUGUUGCUAAGGCAGGAUACUGGGCCAGCAAUGCUUUCGGCUGGACCAGGUGUGAACUCUCUUGAACAGUGUAGUAGGGUUGCAGAUGAACCCUCAUCAUUGAUAACAUCAACCUGUGGAGAUGAUGAGCUUCCGGAGAUGAUGAGCUUCUGCUGGAGCACCAAACAGGGGUCUACAAGCGGGGUGAUCUUCAUGGAAGAGCGCCUGUAAUCUAUGGCGCUGACACUGUAUGGGCCAAGAACUGGGUGGACUAGGAUGGUGUCUUGACCAAAGCAUGCAAACUUCCUGAUUGAUCUGCCGACACACCCACAUGACGACGAUGAUGAUGUAUUGCUGGAUUCAAGGCAGAGAGGAUACCUGAUCUCUGGGCCAUGUUGGCUGCACUGGGAAGGUGGGCAGUAUUUGAAGAAAUCUUGAUCAUCCCAUGCCGUGGCCAAGUAGAUUCCGUGGUUGAUCAGAGGCAGCAGCAGGAGGGCUGUGACAAGUAAUUUUCUCAUCUUUCCGUGCUUCUGCAACCGGGAGGGAGAAGAUGUGGCAAGUAGCCAAUAAAAAAGGCAGUCAUAGUUGUGCUCUAUGGAUAGUUAUGCCUGAUGAGUAGAUUUCAAAUGCUAACACCUGCCGUGUACUAGUGGUUUGAGUGUGAUUGCAGACUUGCUUCUGUCCAGUCCCUUGUUGCAUGGGCAAUAAAUAUGUUUUGAUUGGCAUUUUGCAUUUUGUGGAGAGAAGGAAUUAUCAUGUCAUGGGACAGAAGACUUCAAGCCUCGAGUCGUCUUUUGUUCCUAGCUACACAAUGGGAGAGAAAUAUCUUGCUCUACUUAACAGAAGACUCCGACUGGGUCGUCUUCUGUUCCUAGCUACACAAUUGAGAGAAUAUAUCCCUCUUUUACGGGGUGCGUCUAUACCAAUUACGUCAUAAUCAGUAUGCCAAUCACAUAUUAAUUGGUAUAUACAGCUGGAUAUGACCAACUAGUCGAUGUCGAUUCCUUGCCCCCCUUUGUACUCUGUAACAUAAGUAACUAGGAUGCCAACUCCGUAGUGCAUCUGUGAAGCUUUCAUGGGGAACACUGGUGCAUUUCAUCAUUCUAUUACCCUACAAUCCUUAACUGUCUUCUCCCUUGUUGCAGUUUUUGCAGCAGAUCAUGUCCUGGGAGGAGAUGAUGGGUGCUCACCUUUCUCCUGUGGGCAUCUCCAAGACAUACGACCCCCUUUCCGUCGGCGAGGUGAUCCUCUUGAGUGCGGUGUUGAAGCAUACGAGCUGGGUUGUACCAGUAGCAAGGCUACAAUUCACAUCAACACAGGAACAUACUAUGUGACUGCCAUCAACUACACCGGUUCCUACUUCUGGGCCAUGGAUCCCAACUUCAAUACCAGUAGCAGCUGCCCUCUUCCACCGUGGAAUCAUGUUCCUUACGUUGGACACUACGGAAUUGAUUCAAUUUCACCACCUGGCUUUCGGUAUUUGGUCCCUCAAAGCUAUGAAGCAGCUUGUUUUGCUAAUUGUUCGCAAGCAGUAACGAAUAAUAGUGCAUACAAGCCCGUUGCUUGCCUGAGUGCCAACAAUUCACAUGUUUAUGUCUGGGUGUCUAAUUACACGUACUGUGCGGUUGAAGAUCUUGAAUCUUAUUGUGGAUACCUGGCAGAGAUUCCAUUUGGUAACGAGUAUUCUCCUGAUUGGCGACAGCUGCAGAAUGCAAGUUAUGCAGAUAUCACACAAUUCACAAGUAAGGGGUUUACUGUCCGAUUUCCUGUGGACACCAUUUACAGGAGGCCUUCUACUUCUGUGAUGUUAAGAAAGAACAUCAAUUUAUGCCUCAACAAUUCAAUCAGGUGAUCACCCCGUUGUUCCAUUUCCUCCCGAUUUAGUUUCUCACCUCCCUAUUCUCUUGAAGAAUUGACUUGGGGCUGUUAAGCCAACCUGACGGUGGCAGCCUGCAUUAUAAUUUAUUUACAAUUGUAUGAUUUGCAGCUACUUCAAGGAGCAAAUAUUUGGCACAAGCAUUGUUAAUUGGACUCAUGCUAUUUUCUGGAGUGAGGUGCACUUCUUAGAAUGCGUGACUCAGAGCUCUAACAAUCACUACUACACAACAAAGUUGGUUUUGAUUGUUGCAACCAUAGUAUCUGCUAUUGCUAUCCCAAAGUUCUUUUUUGGUACGUGAGAAUUGUAUACACAUUUUACUUUCGAAAAAGAAUUUACAUUCUUUUAACUUAUGUCCAUAUCUGUCGACUUGUUGUGCAGUAAUGUGCAGGUUCUUGUUGGCACCCCUGGCUGUAUGGAUAUUCCUAGCCUACAAGUACAUGAAAACAAGGCUCAUAAUUGAUGCAGUUGAGAAUUUCCUCAGGAUUCAACAAAUGAUUGGCCCGGCGAGGUACUCCUACACAGAUAUAGUUGCAGUCACAAGCCAUUUCAGAGAUAAAUUGGGCCAAGGGUGCUACGGCUCUGUGUACAAGGGCGUGCUACUCCCAGGCGGCGUCCAUGUCGCCGUCAAGAUGCUAGAGGGCAAUUCCAACUGCAAUGGAGAAGAUUUCAUCAGCGAGGUCUCCACCAUCGGCAGGAUCCACCACGUCAACGUGGUGCGUUUAGUGGGGUUCUGCUCAGAGGAAAUGCGAAGGGCCUUAGUCUACGAGUACAUGCCCAAUGGUUCUCUGGACAAGUACAUCUUCUCUACCGAGAAGAGCUUCUCAUGGGACAAGCUCAACGAGAUCGCUUUGGGCAUUGCCAGGGGGAUCAACUACUUACAUCAGGGGUGCGACAUGCAGAUUCUGCACUUUGACAUCAAGCCGCACAACAUCCUUCUUGACAGCAAUUUCAUCCCAAAGGUCGCCGAUUUUGGGCUCGCCAAGCUGUACCCUAAGGGAGACAGUUUCGUGCCACUGAGUGCCAUGCGGGGAACCAUAGGCUACAUAGCCCCCGAGAUGAUAUCCCGGAGCUUCGGCGUCAUAUCUAGCAAGUCCGACGUGUACAGCUUCGGGAUGUUGCUGCUGGAGAUGGCCGGCGGGAGAAGGAACGCUGAUCCAAAGAUGGGGUCCUCAAGCCAGGCGUACUACCCAUCAUGGGUGUAUGACCAGCUGACUCAAGAAGAAGCGGGCGAGAUAUCUCCGGUUGCUGCCAACAUGCACGAGCUGGAGAAGAAGCUGUGCGUUGUCGCAUUAUGGUGUAUUCAGAUGAGGUCUCGUGAUCGGCCGACGAUGAGCGAGGUCAUUCAGAUCCUGGAGGCUGGAGCUGAUGGCCUACAGAUGCCUUCGAGGCCGUUUUUCUGCGACGAAGGGCACAUCCACGUAGAGGACUCUUACCAUUUCACUUCGGAGCUGACAGCGGUCUCGGAGGAGGAAUUGACCGUGGUAUCGGAGGAAGACGACGGUGAGAUAUACAGUGUGUGAUCCACUUUAUCUUUGCAUAAGUGCACCUAUAUGUAUGUAUGUACGUAUCAGUGAGUGAUGCACUUAGCUUAUGGUUGUAACAGUAUGAAUGAAUGUAUUGUACAAACUGCCUUGCUUGUUUGUUACCGGAGAAACAAACAGAGUAACUUCAAAUAUGUUUGAAAUCUGACACCAAUCUAUUUGUUUGUUCAUUACUUUUGAUACAAAUUCUGAUAGAAAAUAUUGCUUGAAACAAUAAAUUCUCGAUACAAAUAAGUUUGUGAGAGGUGACAAAAGGCAGCCUUUUUCUUGUUGAGAAACAUUUUCAGAGAAUAUUUUUUUCUUUCAUUCUGAUGGAGCUUGUCAACUGAGAAUCUAGCUUGCAUGCAUUUUUCUUUUGCAUAUGAUAGAUCCAUAAAGCCAUUGAUCUCCAAUUUCAUCACAAAUUUAUUGAAACGCAGUUUUAGUUUACAGCAACAGCAUUCUAGGUUGAGUUUCCAGCCGCGUAAUUGGCAUGGUUGUAGAGUCCCUCAUAUUCUCCCCUUCGAGGUUGUGCACCCGCAAGUGCGCGAAGACAUGCAUAGAUAGUUAUUUUUCGCUAAGAAAUCGCUCUGGUCAUCGAACUAGAUAAUUGCAUUUGAUAAACAGAACCACAGGCCACAGUUGGUCUUCUUACAUGUCGUCAUAAUUGCAUUUGAUAAACAGAACCACAGGCCACAGUUGGUCUUCUUACAUGUCGUCUUCGAUCGUAGGCAGGAAAGAAAAUUCCAGCUCUGAUUUAAUGGAACCCUGUGCCGUGUUGUAGUGGCUGCAUAGACUUGGUACAAUCCAGUCUUGUUGAAUGCCACUUGUACGUGCGACAAGGGGCGCCGUGUGGAAAUUACGGUAACACUGACGUUGCCCAUGUCUGAAGAAUGUGUGGACACUGUCAGUUGCCCUUUAGAUGGGGCAGAAGACUUCUGUUCCAACACCAGCAGUGCUGAUAUGGUCCUGAAGCUGCUAUUGUUGUUGUCCACUGCUUUGGCAAGUGGCAGCCCCUGUCACAAACUGCCUUCAUGGUUCUAGUAUAAAUCUGUAUAUGCGUGUAGCAUGGAGUUAUGGUUGAAACAGUACCAAUCUAGUAUAAAUGUUUUGUGCAAACUGGAUUCCAUGUUGUGCACUUGUUGCUGGAGAAACAAACAGAGUAAUUCAAGCAAGUUUGGAAUCUUACAUCCAUCUAUCUGUUUUGUUUGUUCAGUAGUAUUGGUACAAAUUAUGAUUGAAAAUAUUUUUUGAACCACUUGUGAGAGGCGACAAAGAACACAUUUUUCUUGUUGAGGAACAUUUUCUAGAGAAAUACUCCCUCCGUCCGAAAAUACUUGUCAUCAAAAUGGAUAAAAGGAGAUGUAUCAAGAACUAAAAUACGUCUAGAUGCAUCCCUUUUAUCCAUUUUGAUGACAAGUAUUUCCGGACGGAGGGAGUAUGUGUUUAUAUUCCUUGGGGGGAAAAGAGCUUUGUUUUUCACUCUGCUAGCAGUAACAUGCAAUUUUUUCUCACUGAGAAUUUUUAUGUCACUGAGAAGCAUUUUUCACUCUGCUUGCAUACAUUUUUUCUUUUGCAUACAUAAGAUUCAUAAAACCAUUGGUCUCCAGUUUCAUUAUGAAUUUGUUGAAAUGUGGUUUAAGUUUACAGCAACAUCAUUCCAGGUUGAGUUUCCAGCCCCAUAAUUGGCACUGUUAACAUAUUCACCCCUUCAGGAUUGCGCACCCCCAGGGAAUUGCUGCUAAGAAAUCGCCAUGGUCAUGGAAUUACACAAUUUCAUUUGGUAACCAGAGCCACAGGCCACAGCUGCCUGGGUCUUCUUACAUGUCGUCUUCGAUCGUAGGCAGGAAAAAGAAAAUUUCAAAUAUGCCGUGUCGAAUGCCAUUUGUGUGCAUGCGACGAGGGGUGCCGCGUGGAAAUUUCAGUAACACUGACGUUGCCAUGUUUGAAGAAUGUGUGGACAUUUUGGGUUACCGAGUAGACGGGGCAGAAGGUUCUUCCGUGCCAAUUGCACUGGUCCUGAAGCUGAGGGUGAAGCUACCAUUGUUGUUUUGUUAUACUGGCAACUGGCGGCCCCUGUCACAAACUGCCUUCCUGGCCCUGCACUUGUCAUUAGAGGAACAAAAUGGAGUAAUUUCAGUUAAAUUCCGACAAAUAAAUGUUUGAAAAAAGGAGCACCUCUAUUUCUUUUUGGAGAAGCAGAUACUUUUUCUGACAAAUGGUGUCCAUUUUCAUCAAAAAAAAAGAGAAGAAACUUUGCACCAUGGAUGACAUUCCAUCAACAUCAGAGAGAAGCUAACUUGAACACUUCCGCUUCGAUAGACCCCCCCNNNNNNNNNNNNNNNNNNNNNNNNNNNNNNNNNNNNNNNNNNNNNNNNNNNNNNNNNNNNNNNNNNNNNNNNNNNNNNNNNNNNNNNNNNNNNNNNNNNNNNNNNNNNNNNNNNNNNNNNNNNNNNNNNNNNNNNNNNNNNNNNNNNNNNNNNNNNNNNNNNNNNNNNNNNNNNNNNNNNNNNNNNNNNNNNNNNNNNNNNNNNNNNNNNNNNNNNNNNNNNNNNNNNNNNNNNNNNNNNNNNNNNNNNNNNNNNNNNNNNNNNNNNNNNNNNNNNNNNNNNNNNNNNNNNNNNNNNNNNNNNNNNNNNNNCGCAGUCAACGCAUCGUCUUCGCGCCGCGCCGCACAAGUCGCGGCCCCACCCCCCACGUCCCCCGACCGCACGCCAGCCCGCACCCGUCGCGUCCCCUGCCGUCCGCCAAUCACGCCGCCCGAGGCGCGCAUGCACGCAGACAGUUGCACGCGCGUGCUGUCUGCGGGACGCCACCGCUGCCGCCGCUGUCGGCUCCUCGCCUGUCGCGCCGCCGCUGCCGGCUCCUCGCCUGUCGCGCCGCUGCACAGGAAAUCCAUCUCUCGCAUUUUUUGACAACCGAUGAAGGACACAACACUUUGGUGUUUCAGUUAUGCUCAGAUGAUGGAGAACAAAAAGAAUGUGUUUGCAUGGCAGACCUUUCCGAACCAUCCUAAGACAACUGCAUGUUAUAGUUUCUUCUGAGUUACCUGGUUCAUAAACAACAUUGUACAUGAACUUGUGGUUAUCCUUCCAUGUCACCAUAUAACUCUGACGCUCAAUUCCCACGAGCGUCUCAAAUAUCUCCAGCUGACUUGUGCAAAUCAUCUUGCAAGAUGUAAAAAUUAGCAGGUGUGAAUACUUUGGCGGCAUGCUCCUCAAGUGCCUUAUAUUCAGUAACCGAUGGUGGUUCUUUCUGGUGUGCCGCACAGUCAUCGUACGCCUCAUUCUCACACAGGCAAACUAUAGAGUUCUCAUAAUGCACAACCAAAUCAACUAUUGUCAUACCGUAGUCCAGGUGAAGGUGAUGGAAGGAGUUGAGGCUUUCACUUCUCUAUUUUACUUCGCAUACCAAGAAAAAAACCAUCGGAAAGAUAUGAAGUUGCCCAAAGUCUCUUCUUCCUGUACAUCCUGUCAAGCCACUCUUGAGUUCUAUCCGUCUUCCACUUAUUAUAGAAAGUGGUCCAUCUCUGCUCAAAGUUCGCUUGAGAGGUGGCAUAGUAUAGGAGUGAUCUGAACUCAUCCAGUGACUUGUAAUGCAGGUGCCUUUGCAUAUUUUUCUCGAUAUGCCAGGAGCAAAGACGAUGGAAAACAUCUGAAAGGACAGUCCGAAUAGCCCGGAUCAUUGCAGCGUCACCAUCUGUGAUUAUUAAAUUUGGCUUCACCUGACAGUUUGCCUUCAUAAAUGUCUGCAGCAGCAACACAUAUGUCCCUUCCGUCUCGUCAGCAAUGAUGGCACAUCCAAACACUGUGGUGCAACGGUGGUUGUUAACUUCGACAAAGGGGACGAACGGCCUUCCAUACCUGUUCAUCUUAUACGUGCUAUCAAACACGACCACAUCUCUGUAGUCCUGAUAGUCCCUCCGCGACUGUGCAUCACACCAAAACAUACUCUUUAGUCGCCCUUCCUUGUCACGCACAUACUAAAAAAAAACUCAGGGUCCUUCUCCUUCCUGCUCCUCAUAAUGCCAAUUGUCGUCUCUGCGUCACCUUUUGCAAUGAGCUUCAUUUUCUCUCUGCAACAAAGAUUGGAAAUAUCCCUCCUGAUAAGCCCGCACUUACCGCAUGAACCGUAUCUGCAGAUAAAGUUGUCCAUUAUUAUAUGCUUUCUUAUCCCGGCCGCUUCCAACGCCAAUAUCUCUGCCCUCGUGCCUUCUCCAAUCCGUCUGUGUGACCGUAGAAAACAAACCUCAUCAGGCCUAGCCAUCGCAUGGUUGUGAUCAUCCAUGAAUGACGCGACGAACCAAACACCAUGUUCUCUGUCCAGCUUUACCACCAUAUGUGCACCGCAAUCGCAACGAGUCUCCGGUCUAAGCAUGCGCUUGCGGCCCUCCUUGGUUAUAAACUUGCUCUGCUUUCUACCUGCCCUGGAGCAAAGAAAUCUCCGGUACCGUAUCAUUCCUGAAGCACCUCGUUUGACCUUCUGUUUUCUGAUGCUAAACCCGUUCUCUUUGGCGUGAUUAUUAUAGAAUAUGUAUGCAUCACCUUGCGACCGAAAGGUCAUAGCCAUCACCUUCCAAUGUGUAUCCACCAUUUGCUGCGGCCUUCGAGCCUCCUCAAUGUCGAUCUCCCCCUCAUCGUGAUCACCGCUAAUACCAUCUGACUCCUCCUACAAAACUCAUACGAAAAUAUAUAUGUUAAUUACUAUCAUUUAGUUCAUACUAUUCAUCGAUGUACAACAUCUAUCUACGUACCUGGCUCAAGUUAUCCGCGAAUGAUUCCUGUAAACUAUUUUGCACAUUGUCAACAUCCACAUCUUCCUCCAAAUUUGUAUACAUAGAGAAAUAGUUAGCCAUGCCAUACAUUGCAGGUUCAAAUAUGAAAUCAAAAUAUACGACACUUACGUUUUCACUAUUUGCGCCAUGUUCAUUAUGAUCAAAAUCCUCCGGAGGCAAGAUAUCAAAUGACGACACGGAAUCGUUGUCGCUGCUGUCAUCAUCUUCAUUAAAAAUAUCGUUAUCAUUCCGAGUCGGCUUGUUAGUACCAUUAUCACCCCCCGUCAAUGCGGUUUGUUCAUCCAUGGCAACACGCCUAACUCACCAAACUGCAUAACAUUGUGAAUUCAUCAUGUGUUAAGUUUGUACUAUGGAUCAUGCCCAAGUGCAACUCUAACUGCCUACAACAUGCGGUCGUCCGGGGAGGCGCCGCUGCGACGGCAUGUUUACGUCAACCAUAAACCCUAGAUCACUAUGUGUGACUCAUAUCGUCUAGCAUGCUAGGUUUAGACGACGAGAUUAGAUGGCAAACCUUGGGCCACGGAGUAGACGUCGCCGGUGUACGAUGACGGUCCUUCGGGCAGCGGUCUAGCUAGCGGCGACGUGCAAGACGAGGGUUAGAUAGAAGACGGCAGCGACGUGGAAGACGAGGGCCGCGGUGUAGACGUCGCCAGCGUAGGUCGACGCGGGCCGGAUCGGCGGCGAGCGGACGACAACGCGGUCAGUCACAGCCGACAAGCCGUCCGACGGCGACGUUCAGAUGCGGCGUCGGAUGGGGUUCAGUCGGCGGCGAUCGGCCACGGCGGCGAUCGCACAGUUGGAAAAUGGACGUGAUCGACGUGCGUGAUCGUCGGGCGGGCGAGAAGAUCGUGCAGACGCCUUUGUUUUCUCUACACGCGCAACGAUCUUUUUUUUUGCAUUCCUCAAGGUAUACGGACGUCGGUCUAUACAGUAUGAUAGGAGGUGGGUAUACGUUUCUUCUGUAUGACCAUUAUGCCCUUCUACGUUUUGUUUGCGGGGGGGAGGGGUCUACCGAAGCAAGCCUCUAACUUGAAUACAUUCCAAUUCCGAUGCGACAAAUACAGCAAAAUAAAAAAAACAAAAUCAAUAGCAGGAACGCAGCUCAGCUCCCCAGUUUCAUCACGAAUUCAUUGAAUGAAGUCUUUAAUUUACAAGAACAUACUUCCAGAUUGAGUUUCCAGCAGCAUAUGGCCAUGCUCUCGUGAACAAAGUUCACCGUGCGUGCUGAAUAAUAAGCAAUAGAUAAUUUUAUUGCUCAAUAAUGAUUAGAGCUCACAAAGAUUACAAUUGCAAGCUGCAGUACACAAACUAAAAAGCUCGACGGAUGGAUCAGCGAAGAAGCGCUACAGCUCCUGAUUUCUGAAGAAUCGGCCGCAUCAGGUAUAGUUGUGCAGCCGUGCAUACACACGGAAGUGCUGAACUUGUCUAACAAUGCCAAAGAAAGUAAUUGAUGAGCUGAAUACUCAUUUCAUUCGGCAUUGGCAUCGUUGUAGAGCCUCUCAAGUUCUCCCCUUCAGGAUUGCGCACUGCCAAGUAAGCCAACUACCUUUUCUAGUUUGCAGCUAAUCAUCGCAGUCACGGAGAUAGGCAUCUUCGGUCGAAGACAGGAAAAAAUCCCACAGAGUAGUAAGAGACAACCAAGCUUGCUUUGCAGUGCAGAAUCUGGUAAUAAUUGCAAAUCAGUCAGCCGGUCAACAGAGUGAAUGAAUCUGUAUCUUUUCACAAUCUACUUAAUAGAGUAGUCGACGCAGUCUCUUAAUUUAGGAUAACUAGUCAAGUAUGAAAGACUGAAAGUACACAUCCGGUUACUUCGACAAACUUUAAACUAAGGAACAUCCCCAUCGUGGAAACUGCAUGAUCAGUUACUUGUUUCUAUGAUUGACCCUACCAGUUCUGUCCUAUGGAGUUAGGAGACGAUACACAUGAACAUGCAGAAAGAUCAUUAGUUGACAAGCUCGUAAUAAAUUCACACUACUAUGAGCUAAUAGUUGUGCAGUUCUGCUAAUAUAGGACAAGGUUCGUAAAAAAAAAAGCUGUGUAUAUGCACAAAAGAGUGGGGAAGAAACACCAAACACUAACCUUGGAGCGGUGAUUAUGUAUCACCUUAUCCUUUCUACAAGUCCUUUCUGUGUCAGUGCAACUGUAACGUUCCUUAUGUGGCUAAUCUUCAUUAUAUCUUCACUGAAUUCGUCUGAAUCUCUGUCCUGCCGGAGCUUCUCUAUCAGCUCUUCUGAUGUGUUCUCCAGAUAUAAUUUCUCAAGGGCUGCAAGGUGUUUGAUGCCACCAGGAAGAAACUUUAGCUUGGGGCAGUUUAUAAGCAGUAGCUCGAUGAGGUUUUGCAUCACGCCGUCCUCUAUUCCAACAUGGUUGAGCUGUGCUGCGCCCCAUAAGUUUAGAUACCGAAGUUCUGGAAAUGACCCAGCGUAAAAAUCCAACCUCUUCCCUUCAAAAGCAUUCACCAGCACAAGAAAGCGUAGACCACGUAACACGUGCAUACAGGAAAAGGUGUCCUCAUCAAUAUUGGAGAAUGCCAGGUGCAACCAAGUGAGGCGAUUAAGGUGUGACCAGGAAAAGAAAAGUUGAGGCAUUGAUAUUUUUUCUAGCUUCCCUCCUAAACCAAGCACAGAAAGGGAUGGAGGUAAAUAUAGCCCUUCCAGCUGCAGCACCUCAUUCUCAGCUGUUGCAGCACAAAUUUCAAGAUGAACAAGAUGGCUCAUUUUGGUGAUACCAUUGCUCAAGUCAACAGAGUGUUCGCUUCUCACAUUGCAGACACUGAAUGUUCUUAGCCUUGUCAGAGCUCCAACUUCACAUAGAAACCGACGGAUUGAAGAGCCCGAAGUCCUGCCAACUGCCGCAUGCCACUAGGCACCUUGACCCCGGCUAUACUUCCUAAUGUGCCCACAGUACACGCAUACAUGUAUCUCAAUUUCUGAAGCUUUACAACACUGUUUGACAAGUACGUCGGUUUAGAAUCACAAGCAUCCAAGACUUCCAAGUUUUGCAACCUUCCCACUGCUUCGGGCAGACUUUCAAGAUCGGUAUAUCUAAGGCCCAAAUAAUGCAGAUUAAACAAGUUGAAUACCUCAUUGGGCAACAUUUUAACACGAGUACCUUGCAGAUCCAACAUCGACAGGAAUCUCGAAGAUGUUAGGAUAGGCUUUAGCAAAUCAAUAUCAAUAUAGCUCUCAAAAACAUGGAGCGCACGGAGUUGCGCUACACCAGAACGGCUCAAGUGUUCAAGGGUUUCUUUCUGUACCGAUAUGCGACAUGCACCUUCUACACAAAAUGCCCCACUAGCAGAGCCACCAUAAACUUUACCAAAGCAUUCCUCCUUGGCAGGGCCGGGCCGGCAAAAUCCGGGGCCCUGUGCGAAACUACAAAUUGGGGCCCUGUGUUACUAAAUUUAUUUAACGAGCAAUUAUAAUAUGUAUAAUAUAAUGUCUUACAUAACAAUUAGAUAUAUAAAAAAUCAUAGCUAUUCAACUCCCGGUUGCAUAAUAUUUACUUGAACAACAUCAUAUUUUAGUAUUCUUUUAAAUGAAAUCUCAAGGGUAGAAGGACCAAUAGGCUGAUUAGAGCAUCAAAAUGAGUGUCCGGCCACGUUUUUUGACCCAGACAGGCUCCUUAGACGGGGCUCAAACCCCCGGCCUGACCGACACUUGAUGCUUCUUUUCUGUCCAUACCAUAUUUAUAAGGUUUAUUAAUUACAUUUUGUUCUCUUUAUUUUCUCUAGCCCUCCUGGAUUAAACUCAUGUUUCUCAUGAUGACUUAAAUAUGUAUUACUGAAACAGAAGAUAAAAAGAUGAAUAAAAUAAAAUUGUACUGAUACGGCAGCAGAUACCAAUUAAAAAUUAUGUGGCAAUGUCACACAAUUAGACGAACGGUCUAACUUACCUAGUAUCAUGUCAGUCCAGUUGAACUGUUAAACUAUGAUCUUUCAGCCGAGGAGGCAAGAAUCGAUCACUAAUGAUAGACCAAAACUUAAUUAGGAUUCAGGAAAUUAGAAAUUAAAAGUAGGAGCUGAAGUUAAUCAGGAAAGACUCGCUAGCGGCAAGCUACCUGUUUUGAAGUCGUGAACGAUCUAGAGGAUGGAAGCCGUGAAGUACCUGAAGUCGGUCGCCAAUCAAUUCGAUGAGGCGACGAGUCUAGGAGAGAAAGACAACAGCCGGCCGAUCGAUCCGAUGAGUCGACGAGACGAAGCCACGAAGGCGACGAUCCCGACGCCGACGCGACUGCUAAUACGAUUUUGCGUUCGAUCGAGUGACGAGUCCACGAUCCCUUUUUUUCAGAGGGACCCACGAUCACGUUUUUCUUCUUACAGAUCUCGAUCAAUCCAGCAGUUUUUUUUUAUUUGAGAAACACCGAUCGAGCCGAUCUUUUUUUUAGGAAAGAGAAGAUUUUGAGAAACACCGAUCGAGCAACAGGUGGAGCACCAGGGCCCAGCGGGCCCAGCGUAGCAGCUCCUACGAUUUGUUUUUUAGAAAUACUAUGCCUACAUAAAAAAAUGUGGGCCCCCACAUAUUAUGGGCCCUGUGCGGGCCGCACAUACAGAACAACUAUGGGCCCGGCCCUGCUCCUUGGCUUUGUUGAGGGCAGGAAGACGUAUGUCAUCAUGCAUCCGAUAGCAUUUCAGUCGUCCAGCAUAAUUCCUUUCCACUACAUGUAACAUGCUUCGGUUCACAAGCUCAACCAAGUAUCCCUCGGCCACUUCCUCCAAUGUUUUGCUCUCAUCUUUUUUCGUGAUAAACCCUGUCGUGAUCCACUACCUCAUUGUUUUUCUCCUCUUUAAUACAUAAUCUUCCGGGAACAAUGCACAUUGUAGGAAACAAUUCUUCAAAUCAUAAGGAAGGUCCUCCAAGCUGACUUUUAGGAUCAUAUGAGAAUCGGGGAUCACAUCUUUCGCCAACUGCGAAUCCAAACCCCUGUACACAUUCUCCAAUUCAGCAAGAGUUGCGGGUCUGCAGGAGAGUAGGCGGCCAAUGCAUGCAAUAGCAAUAGGCAAGCCUUGACACUUUGCUAUGAACUUUCAAGCCGAUUUCUGCAACUCCAAGAGGCACCCUUUGCCGUCAUCAUUCCAAAAUGCUCCUUUGCAGAACAACUCCCAGGAAUGAUGUGCUUGUAGCGGUUCCAAGUGAAUUGAAUACUUCUUAGUUGCCAACAGUGAUACUUCAUGCUUUCCCGAUGUGACAACAAAAUGGCCGGUACAGUUAGAUGUUGGGAAGAUAUCCCUUAUCUCCGACCACACACGCGCAGCCCAAACAUCAUCCAGGACCAUGAUGAACUUUUUACCUUGAAGAUACUUGUGGAUGGACUCUGCUAGGCAUAUCAUCACAAUGUUGGCGACGUCGACUGUGAUGCCGAAUUGGGCACUGAUCUUCUUCAGCAGAUCCUCAAUACAGUAACUUUUCGGCACGGUUACCCAUGCAUCCAAAUACACUUUCACGGUGUUGUACACAUGAUCAACAAGAGUGGUUUUGCAAACACCAGGUAUCCCCCACACCAUGGUGACUUUGCUACUGCUCUGCUCCAGAUCAUCACCACCGCCCGGUUAGCCAUCAUAUCAACUUCUCCUUGUUCUCUUCNNNNNNNNNNNNNNNNNNNNNNNNNNNNNNNNNNNNNNNNNNNNNNNNNNNNNNNNNNNNNNNNNNNNNNNNNNNNNNNNNNNNNNNNNNNNNNNNNNNNNNNNNNNNNNNNNNNNNNNNNNNNNNNNNNNNNNNNNNNNNNNNNNNNNNNNNNNNNNNNNNNNNNNNNNNNNNNNNNNNNNNNNNNNNNNNNNNNNNNNNNNNNNNNNNNNNNNNNNNNNNNNNNNNNNNNNNNNNNNNNNNNNNNNNNNNNNNNNNNNNNNNNNNNNNNNNNNNNNNNNNNNNNNNNNNNNNNNNNNNNNNNNNNNNNNNNNNNNNNNNNNNNNNNNNNNNNNNNNNNNNNNNNNNNNNNNNNNNNNNNNNNCCCCCACGUAUGUGUGUUCUUUGUAUCAGGCCCAUGAGGAAAAAUGAUUCUAGGCAAAUUUUGACGCAACAGACCUGUACAUGCGAACAUUACAUGUGGGCAAGUAAAUCAGCGAUUCGCUAAAUUGGUGGAACUUCCGUUUCCCUCGCAUAGGUCCGCGCAUGACGAUAUGAGCGAUAUCACGCACGACUCCUCAAGUCCCGCAAGUCCAUGUGCGACCCCGCCGCCGACACAGCCUCCUCCCGCAGAUCCCUCCCCCGAUGGUUCCUCCUCCAAUGACGAUAUGAGUAAUUUCAUGUUCAUCACCAUGGAAAGGAGUAACAAUACCACCGGCCCUGGCAGGCAGAAACUACAGAUUGAUCAGGUUAGCAUCUUCCUGAUGCAUCAUCCAACAAAGCUAGAUAGAUUGUUAUGUGAUUUAUUAGUGGCAGAAUUAGGAGAUAGUGAAUUAGCGGAGAAGACUAGGAUGCCCGUCUGACUAAUUUUUGUAUGGCAAUCCUUCUGACUAAUAAAUCUGGUUGUGUUGGAUAUCGAUGAAGAGGGCAGAGGGUGUGUAGAAUCUAUGGAACAAUGAUGAUAGCCAAGCUUAAAUUAAUUGGAGGAUUCAUGGUCGAUUCAAUAUUAUUAGGUGGCAAAAUUAAUUUUUAGUGUUGCAAAUUAUAAAGUCAUUCCAGCUAUGCGGAGGAGCUCAAAUUACUUUUGUUUGCCAAACUAUGAUGAAAUAUACAAUGGAUGAAACUUCUCUGUCAAAAUCUUAACAAAAGUGAGAAAUAAUUAAUAUAACAAUAUAUAAUUAGAUCCUUGAACUAGGUCGCAAGCUGGUUUUGCACUCCAUGAUAAAAAAAAGAGCAAUUCAUGUUUAAAAAAUUAACUUUUUUUGAGUUGAUUUUAAAAAAAUUAACUAAGCAUGCACAUAAUGAUUAUAAUUUUGGAUAAUAAAGGGCCUCAAGUUUUAUUUUCGCCCCGGGCCCCCGAAAUCUCAGGACCGGCCCUGGUGAAGUGCAAAUCUUGACCUUGAUUCGUCGAUCUGGUAGCAGAAGCAGAUCUGCGGGUGAUGGCGUAAUCCCUCUUCCUCCGAUUGGCAUCCUGAAGCUGGGCUUCGAUUUCUUGGAGCUUGGCUGCCAGCCGGUGCCAGGUCUUGAUAUGCUUGAGCCUCUUCUUCAUCUUGCCGGCGAACCUUCCGUGCUUGGAGUCCUCCAUCUUGUAGAUGAACUCGUCGACGACGUCCUCAAUUCGGAAGUCGAGGCCCCUGAUCUCGCCAACAAAGAUGGACGUGGUCUCGUCGGUGUCCUUGAACCGCUCUGCCUUCCGCAGGUAGGCCUGCAUGCUCUCCAGCUCCACCUUGGACCGGCGAAUCUUGCUGAAUAGAUCCCUCAGGGCCGCAGCUUUCUUGCACGGCAACGCCCUGCCGUAGGUCGCCACCUCUUUCGCCAGCGCCCGAGAGUCACCACCAGCUGUCCGAUAACAGCCUCCGCCAUGGUUCUUGAGGAUUUUUUUCUCGUCUGAGAUGAUUGAUGGUUGUUGAGGCUUUGAGAUGGUUCUCUUUCAACAGCCUACGCCAUAGUCGUUGAGGCUUUGAGCUGUUUUUUCACUAGCCACAAGUGGACUGACGGACAAGGUUUUGGUUACCGAAUGAGGCAAUUUUACCGAGGGGGACGGGUAAACGUGGUUACCACGGUUACCGGGAAAUACCGAGAAAUACCAAGAGUAUUUCGAACGAAUUUUAUAGUUGAAUUUUGAAUUCAAAUAAAUGAAUGAACGAACAUUCGAACCAGAGACCUGUCAAAACAGGAACUAGGUUGCUACGAACACGUCAUAAUCAACUCUCAUGGCAUUAAUUAGAUCCUACACACUUUACUACAAAUAGAGCGUUUAAAUUCAAAAAUUUCAAAAAAAUGGUAUUUUUUGCUCAGUAUGAGGAUUUAUCGAGGGGCACAGAAAUAUGCAGUAACCAUGGGAAAUUUUGAAAUUUCGAUCGGUAACCAAAACCUUGCUGACGGAUACCUAUACAACACUUGUAUUUUAGUUUUUUGCAAUUUGGUAGCACUCCGCCCACGUGGGUUGCUCUCUCCUCUCAACUGCUAGCUGGGUUUGAUUAGAUCUAACCUCCAUGGGGCUGGGCCACGCGCUGCAAAGAGCUCCUACCUCUCUCUCAGUUUACAAGGCGUGCGCGUAUCCCUAGGUCGUCAAUUUGAUCAAUCUAAUAUAAAUAAUAUAUUACAAAAAAUAUACCAAUAUAAACUUCAGAUUUUCUAUUUUCAGAAGAUAUAAUUUUUGUGUUAUAUAGUUUAUAUUAGGGUGAUCAAAUUGGCAACCUAGAUAUACGCGUAGGAAUUGUAAACUGAGAUGGAGGGAGUAGUAGUAGUGGUAGAUUAGUUUACGAUGCAUCCAGCGCACGCGCAUCUUUUGAACAACGUCCCCCAAGAUGCGCACCAUGUCCCUCGUGAAUCGAUGCAAGUGGUCGUCACCUUCUUCACAAUCUACAAACUACUCCCUCCGUCCGGAAAUACUUGUCAUCAAAAUGGAUAGAAAGAAAUGUAUGUAGAACUAAAAUACGUCUAGAUACGUCUUCUUUUAUCCAUUUUGAUGACAAGUAUUUCCGGACGGAGGGAGUACUAGUAUUACAUCUGUUACAAAGCACAUUAGUACUCCUCAACUAAUUAUCAAAAAAAUAUACAUUUGGUGAUACAUGGAAAAGUAGAGCACUAAUAUAAUACCGACAUAUAGAACAAUGAAAAUGGACAAUGUUAAUUGAAAAGAGACCAAACACUAUAUAGCAAUCUGGUAUCACCGAGCCAGCGUUUGCGUAUCCUCCAUGUCACAUUAUGAAUGUGACGCAUUUCUGCAAAACGCAAACACCACGAUUAGCAUGGUUAGAACUUUGCCCCUCCAUGUCAAAUUACAGUUCAUAUUUUUGUGGAAACAGAGGUGGACCCAAAGGACACCAGUGAAGAACUGAAGAUAACUAGAUCAGCUUGCCUCCAAAAAGCAGAAGAAAAUGAAGAAAGGAGAAGCCCUGGAGGAUAAAAUGUAUGCUCCACAACAAGAUGGCUUGUACCCGAAGAGAGGCAAGAAGACCUAUUGAAGUUUAUCUCCAGGCAACAGCUUUGUUAGUUUUCUAUUCAGAAUUCAGUUUACGACGAGAUUUAGUAUCCUUUUUUGCAUUUUCAUUACUCGUGAAAUGCCGAGUAGGCACGAACUCCCCCCAAUUUGCGACCUACCAUAGGAUUUGUUAUGUAAAUAGGUAUAUAUUCCUUUCCAUUAUGAAUCCUGAUUGUACGGCCAACCAUUGUGUGUACGACGCUAGAUGCCUGGGACACGUUACUAUUGUUUCUUUCUCCUCCUUAAUAUUAACAUUUUCUAUCUUUGCCCUUAGUACUAUGGCUCAAACAUAUGUAACAAGUGAGUGUCCUUUUGUCUCCAAUAGUACCAACUACUCCCUAGCCGUGGAGAAGUGCAGACUUCUCUUAUGUAAUGUUGAGCUGAAUGUUGGUCUGAGUUCUGAGGUCUGAUUUCUGAAUGUAUACAUCACUUGUGUAUUUAUUUUUUGUAAUUUGGUACCCCGACCAUGUGGGUUACUAUGUCUCUCUUCACUUCAGCUCCAUACUAUCUACCCUCUCGCUUCAAACAAAAUCCAUGCAUUUUAUUUCCAUUUGAUAAUUUAUAUGUGGAAACAGAACUUACAGGUCUUCCAACAAGGCCGCCUCCUCCUCCCAACCCUAGUCGCGGCCUCCUCCCAACCCUAUCUGCCCCUCCUCCUCACCCCUCCACUCCUCCCUCCCUCGCCGCCGCCUGAGGCAGCCGCCGGGCAAGCCCGGGGCGCCAAGGAUGGUGGCGGCGGGGACUCAGUUGCCCUGCUCCUGUGUGGGGAACCCCAGAUCUGGAGCGACGGCUCCAUUGGCAAGGCACGACCGACUAACAUCCGUGCAGGUGGUGGAUCCGGUGUCCCAGCCGCGCGGGCGGUGGGAUCCGGUGGUCAUUGGCGGCCGGCGGUGGCUUCUGCGGCGGUCGAUGUGCGCGAUCUGGCGCCUCCCUUCCUCCCUUGUUCUGCGUGCGGGCCAUCCUAUUCGGGCCGCGCUUCCUCUCGGUCACCGGUUCUGUAUAGGAGGUGCUGCUAGUGGUGGAGAUCUAGUUCGAGCGAAAUCACUGUACGGCCAUGACCGGCCGUGCCGACGAUGACGCCUGAGGGCGCCGUUUUCCUCCUUGGAGGCGUCGGUAUGGACUGAUCUCCUCACUUCACCUUCCUCUAGGUCUCCCGGGCGAAAGCCCUAACUCUGUUGGGCGGCGGCGGCGUUCACGGUGCCGUUCCCUUCUUGAAGACGUUGCUUUGGGAACCUUAAGGUUGGGUGGCACUUGUGGGUGGUGGGCGACGGCGGUGGUGCGGCCCUUUCCUAGCAUGGAUUUACGUCCAUUGCUUGGAGAUGGACUCGCGUAGGUGGAGGUCGUCGGCUGGCGUCGUGGUGGUGUCAAUGGCGGAGGACCUGCCAAGGCUCGCGUAGGUGGAGGUCGUCGUUUGGUGUCGUGGUGGCGUCGAUGGCGGAGGACCUGUCAAGAUUGUCACCUCAGUCUGCUCUGAAGAUGGACCAGUGGAAGAUGGCGGCGACGACACAUGUGAGCGUGUUAGACCGGUUUGAGCCCCGAACCCGGCAGAUGGCUCAGUCGGGGCCUCCAGCUUUAGAUGUUAGGCUUAGGUGAGAGGUAUGGGUAUGUGGCCCAGCUUGCACCCCUUCAUCAUUUGAACAGGAGUAGCGGUAGAUGCUGCCAAGAAGGCGGAUUCAGGCAUAUUGUUGUUAUUCUUUGUAAGGUCCUCGAGAAUAAUUAAUAAUACUAGUUGUCAACCCGUGCAUUCGCACGGGCUAGCAUAUUGAGAAUGUCAGAUGGAAUAUCUCUUUCUUUGCGAUAUAGCUUCCUUUGUUUCUGCUCUAAUGAUGUUAGAUGACUACCGUUAGAUUCUAGUACUGCAAGUUGGGAGCUUGGUUUACUUAGGCAGCAACCUAUUCAUGUGUAUUUGUUUUAUUUUCACAUUUGGAAUGUUUGGUCACCUCAUAUAUGACUAUAUUAUAUUUCAAUACCAUUAAAUAAUCUAGGUAGUUAACUGGUAUAGGAUUAAUUCCUCGUAUUUUUUAAACAUUAGCUUUUGUUGUUUGAUUUGUUCCACUAAGUUCGACGCAUGUUGACCAUGGCUAGUGAGCAAUAGGGGUGCUCAAUAUUUAAUUGUUUUAGACAUUUAGAUAUAACCCAAUCAUCUACUACAGAUUAAUUGGCAUUUUUGUUAUUAAAAACAAAGUAUGUAUAAAGUACAAAUCACAUGUGCAUGUACAUUUUUUGAAAUCCUAAAUGUUACAAAAUGUUUAUCAAUGCGCUACUUGUUUUUCUAGUCCUUGAUGCACCAUGUUUUGGAAUGUCUCAGGUCGUCGAUUGUUUAUCAACCCCAUUACACAAUAUGUCCUCAGUUUUGAAUCUUUAUGACUUUGAGAACCUUCCGGUCUUUGAUUUGCGGCCUGCUUCAUCAUAGUUCUUGAUUCCAUGAAUUUUGAUUCAUUCAUUUCCUGUCAUCCAUCAGUUUCUGAUUCUUCAUCAAGAUGCAUAACACGACUCGUGUUCCCUGCCCUAAAAAUUUUAGUCUAGUUUACAAUGACUUCAUCACUAACCAGCACUUGCUUUGAUGUUUUCAAAGCAGGUGACCUUUUUCACUUACUCCUGGAAAAAAAGAAUGUAUUAGCACUAGUAGAAAAGGGGGCAAUGGCCCAGGCCAGUUCAGCCCAUUAGUCCCGGUUCAAUCCAGAACCGGGACCAAUGGAGCUAUUUGCCCCGGUUCGUGAGCCCAGGGGGCCGGCCGGGUCACGUGGGCCAUCGGUCCCGGUUCGUCCGGACCUUUUGGUCCUGGUUGAUGGGACGAACCGAGACCAAUGGGCCUGGCUCCUGGCCCACCACUAUUGGUCCCGUUUGGUGGCAUGAACCGGGACCAAUGGCUACCCGUUAGUCCCGGUUCAUGCCACGAACCGGGACCAAUAGUGCUGCCUAUAUAUACCCCCUCGCUCGAGCAGAGCACUCCAGUGCUCUGUUUUUCUCUUGCCGGCGAGGGGGGGCUUUGUGGUGCUCUAGCUCACCUCCAUAGCACAUGAGGUGUUCGAUGAAAUGCCCGAGCCACACUACUUAAGCUUUCUCCUCUCCAAGCUCGACCUCCAACCUCUAUUUUCCUCAAUAUUUGUCUAGGUUUAGCGGUCGAUCACGCCCCGUCCCCGUCUUCACCGCCGUCGAUCACCCGUGCCGAUCUCAUCGCCAGCACCACCGUGGUGAGCCUCUUGUUCUUAUCUUCUUUCUGAAAGGAAAAAUAUUCUUACUUGUAUUAUUUUCUUACUUUUAUUAUUGCAUCUUAUAUAGUGCGAUGGUUUUGGUAUCCGCCCCCGUCGGCCCUCGUCCUGUCUAUGAUUCGGAUGUGGUAUAUAUUAUCUUUUCAUAACUAUUGGUUCAUUUAUUGUUUAUGAAAAUUAUGCCGACCAACGUGACAUAGAUUUUAUUUAUCUAGGAGGUUGUUGAACCGGAAAUUCCAACCGACCCUAUUGUCGAGAGGUUAAAUUUAGUUGAAGAACAAAACAAUUUCUUGAAGGAAAAAAUAAAAAAACUUGAGGAGGAGAAGAUGAUAUUGGAGUUGCAUGUUGCGGAUGUCGUCGAUGAUCACAAGAUCAAGAUGGAUGCAAUGCGCUUGAAGAUGAGAAAGAUUAGAAAAUAUGCCAUUCAUACCGAGGCUUGGUAUCAUUAUGCCGUUGGAUCAGUUGUUACCUUGGUUGCGAUUAUGAUCGCAUUUGUUUUCGCAUUGAAAUGUUUUACAUAGUUUCAAUGUAUGGUUUAAUUAAUUUAGAUGCUCUGCAGAGCUUUAUGUUGUUAGAUGAGAACUAUGUAUGUACUUUGGUUUUUAUGUGAUGAUGAACUUCUAUUAAUUUAGUCACUUAAUUAUCUAUUCAUGAUGUUCUGUAAUGAUUUUUGACACACUUAAUUAUAUAUAAUGCACGCAAAUGAACCGACAAUGGAUGUACGGUGACAGACACACCUCCGAGUACAUUAAGGGCAUGCAUGAUUUUCUCGAAGUGGCUGAGGCAAACAAGCAGAAUGGUUUUAUGUGUUGUCCAUGCCCUAUAUGUGGGAAUACGAAGUCUUACUCUGAUCGGAAAAUCCUUCACACCCACCUGCUUUACAAGGGUUUCAUGCCACACUAUAAUGUUUGGACGAGGCACGGAGAAAUAGGGGUUAUGAUGGAAGACGGCGAGGAACAAGAGUACGAUGACAACUAUGUGCCCCCUGAAUACGGUGAUGCUACUGAACAUCAAGAUGCACCAGACGAUGUGCACGAUGGUGCUGCAACGGGCGAAGCUGCUGAAGAUCAAGAGGAACCAGACGAUGUGCCCGAUGAUGAUAAUCUCCGCCGGGUCAUUGUCGAUGCAAGGACACAAUGCGAAAGUCAAAAGGAGAAGUUGAAGUUCGAUCGCAUGUUAGAGGAUCACAAAAAGGGGUUGUACCCCAAUUGUGAAGAUGGCAACACAAAGCUCGGUACCGUACUCGAAUUGCUGCAGUGGAAGGCAGAGAAUGCUGUGCCUGAUAAAGGAUUUGAGAAGCUACUGAAAAUAAUGAAGAAGAAGCUUCCAAAGGAUAACGAAUUGCCCGACAGUACAUACGCAGCAAAGAAGGUCGUAUGCCCUCUAGGAUUGGAGGUGGAGAAGAUACAUGCAUGCACUAAUGACUGCAUCCUCUACCGCGGUGCCUACAAGGAUCUGAACGCAUGCCCGGUAUGCGGUGCAUUGCGGUAUAAGAUCAGACGAGAUGCCCCUGGUGAUGUUGAUGGCGAGCCUCCCAGGAAGAGGGUUCCUGCGAAGGUGAUGUGGUAUGCUCCUAUAAUACCACGGUUGAAACGUCUGUUCAGAAAUGGAGAGCAUGCCAAGUUGAUGCGAUGGCACAGUGAGGACCAUAAGAAAGACGGGAAGUUGAGAGCACCCGCUGACGGGUCGCAGUGGAGAAAAAUUGAGAGAAAGUACUGGGAUGAGUUUGCAAAGGACCCAAGGAACGUAUGGUUUGCUUUAAGCGCGGAUGGCAUUAAUCCUUUCGGGGAGCAGAGCAGCAAUCACAGCACCUGGCCCGUGACUCUAUGUAUGUAUAACCUUCCUCCUUGGAUGUGCAUGAAGCGGAAGUUCAUUAUGAUGCCAGUUCUCAUCCAAGGCCCUAAGCAACCCGGCAACGACAUUGAUGUGUACCUAAGGCCAUUAGUUGAAGAACUUUUAUAGCUGUGGAAUGGAAACGGUGUACGUACGUGGGAUGAGCACAAAAAGGAGGAAUUUGACCUAAAGGCGUUGCUGUUCGUGACCAUCAACGAUUGGCCCGCUCUCAGUAACCUUUCAGGACAGACAAACAAGGGAUACCACGCAUGCACGCACUGUUUACUUGACACCGAUAGUAUAUACCUGGGAAGCUGCAGGAAGAAUGUGUACCUGGGCAUCGUCGAUUUCUUCCGACCAACCAUCAAUGUCGAAAUAAAGGCAAGCAUUUCAAAGGCGAGGCAGAUCACCGGAAGAAGCCCGCCAUGCGUACCGGUGAUCACGUACUUGCUAUGGUCAAUGAUUUACACAUAAUCUUUGGAAAGGGUCCCGGCAGACUAGCUGUUCCGAAUGACGCUGAGAAUCACGCACCCAUGUGGAAGAAGAAAUCUAUAUUUUGGGACCUACCCUACUGGAAAGACCUAGAGGUCCGCUCUUCGAUCGACGUGAUACACGUGACGAAGAACCUUUGCGUGAACCUGCUAGGCUUCUUGGGCGUGUAUGGGAAGACAAAAGAUACACCUGAGGCACGAGAGGACCUGCAACGCUUGCACGAAAAAGAGGGCAUGCCUCCGAAGCAGUAUGAAGGUCCUGCCAGCUACGCUCUUACGAAAGAAGAGAAAGAAAUAUUCUUUCAAUGCCUGCUCAGUAUGAAGGUCCCGACUGGCUUCUCGUCGAAUAUAAAGGGAAUAAUAAAUAUGCCAGAGAAAAAGUUUCAGAACCUAAAGUCUCAUGACUGCCACGUGAUUAUGACGCAACUGCUUCCGGUUGCAUUGAGGGGGCUUCUACCGGUAAAUGUCCGAUUAGCCAUUGUGAAGCUAUGUGCAUUCCUCAAUGCAAUAUCUCAGAAGGUGAUUGAUCCAGAAAUCGUACCAACGCUAAGGAGUGAUGUGGCGCAAUGUCUUGUCAGUUUCGAUCUGGUGUUCCCACCAUCCUUCUUCAAUAUCAUGACGCACAUCCUAGUUCAUCUAGUCGACGAGAUUGUCAUUCUGGGGCCCAUAUUUCUACAUAAUAUGUACCCCUUUGAGAGGUUCAUGGGAGUCCUAAAGAAAUAUGUUCGUAACCCCGCUAGGCCAGAAGGAAGCAUCUCCAUGGGCCAUCAAACAGAGGAUGUCAUCGGGUUUUGUGUUGACUUCAUUCCUGGCCUUAAGAAGAUAGGUCUCAUUAAAUCACGGUAUGAGGGGAGACUGACUAGAAAAGGCACGCUUGGAAGGGACUCAAUAAUAUGCAGGGACAGAUAUUCUUGGUCUCAAGCACACUACACAGUUCUACAGAACUCUACCUUGGUGACCCCGUAUGUCGAUGAACACAAGAACAGUCUGCGCUCCAAACACCCGGAGCAGUGCGACGACUGGAUUACAUGUGAACGCAUCAGGACUUUCAGCAGUUGGUUGGAAACACGUCUCAGAGGUGACAGCACUGUUUGUGAUGAGCUGUACUUGUUGUCCAGGGGACCAUCUUCGACUGUAAUGAUUUGGAAAGGAUACGAGAUAAACGGGAAUACAUUUUACACGAUUGACCAAGAUGAAAAGAGCACCAACCAAAACAGCGGUGUCCGUUUUGAUGCAGCAACCGACAAUGGAAAUAACACAUAUUAUGGUUACAUAGUAGACAUAUGGGACUUGACUACGGAGUAGAUUUUAAGGUCCCUUUGUUUAAGUGCAAGUGUGUCAAUCUGUCAGGAGGCGGGGUACAGGUAGACCCACAGUACGGAAUGACAACAGUGGAUCUGAAAAAUCUUGGGUACACUGACUAACCGUUCGUCCUAGCCAAUGAUGUGGCACAGGUUAUCUAUGUGAAGGACAUGUCUACCAGACCGCGGAAAAGAAAAGAUAAGGAAGCGAAUACAUUAUACAAUGAGCCAAAGCGCCACAUAGUUCUUUCAGGAAAAAGGGACAUCCUGGGAGUGGAGGGCAAGACAGACAUGUCUGAAGAGUAUGAAAAGUUUCAUGAAAUUCCCCCCUUCAAAGUCAAGGCUGACCCAAGCAUCCUGAUAAACGAUGAAGAUUAUCCAUGGUUUUGGCGCAAUAAGCAAACGACACAAGCGAAGAAAAAGUGAAGAUUUUCUCCCGCAACUAUUAUGAUGAUACCAUGCCAACUUUGUAAGAGACGAGUAUGAUACCAUUGUCCGUUUUGUACAUGCACAUGCUAUGCCAACUUUUUCAGAGUUCAUUUGAAAACUAUGAAUUUGUAAACCUCGCCAACCGAAGGGCGCUCACACCGGUUUAUAAGCCCGUCCCUCUACACGCCUUGUUGAGCUCACAAACUUGUGAUUCACACAAAUUUCAAAGAAAACUAAUGGCAUAAACAGAAAGUUUAUAAUUUUGCUGACCUAAAAGCAAAAAGAAUUAAAAAAUAAAGCAAAAAACAGAAAGAAAAUAAAUAAUGCAGAAAACAAAACAAAAAAACUUGAAAAAAAAUAAAAAUAGCAACAAUAAGUAUUUUGUUGUAAGUAGAAACAAAAUAAAAUAAAUAAAUAAAGCAAAAAAGUGUUUUCAAAUUUGAAAACUAAUGGCACUAAUAGAAAGUUUAUAAUUUUUCUAAAACUAAAAGCAAAAAGAAUUAAAAAAUAAAGCAAAAAACAACAAAAAAUAAAUAAUGCAGAAAGCAAAACCAAAAAACUGGAAAAAAAUAAAAAUAGCAACAAUAAGUAUUUUGUUAUAAGUUGAAACAAAAUAAAAUAAAUAAAGCAACAAAGAAAACAAAAAAACAAAUAAAGUGCCACCUACUGGGCCGCCACGGCCUGAAUACGACUAGAAACCCUAUCAUGGGCCAUGAUUCAGGCCCGCGGGAGGCCCAGUAGGCCCACAGGCACAGAUUGCACGGUUAGGCCCGAAAGGCUGCAGUUGAGAGGAGCUCGAGAGGGUGGGCGCAUUAGCGCUUAUAAACCACUCUCGAGCUCUCUCAACUAGCGNNNNNNNNNNNNNNNNNNNNNNNNNNNNNNNNNNNNNNNNNNNNNNNNNNNNNNNNNNNNNNNNNNNNNNNNNNNNNNNNNNNNNNNNNNNNNNNNNNNNNNNNNNNNNNNNNNNNNNNNNNNNNNNNNNNNNNNNNNNNNNNNNNNNNNNNNNNNNNNNNNNNNNNNNNNNNNNNNNNNNNNNNNNNNNNNNNNNNNNNNNNNNNNNNNNNNNNNNNNNNNNNNNNNNNNNNNNNNNNNNNNNNNNNNNNNNNNNNNNNNNNNNNNNNNNNNNNNNNNNNNNNNNNNNNNNNNNNNNNNNNNNNNNNNNNNNNNNNNNNNNNNNNNNNNNNNNNNNNNNNNNNNNNNNNNNNNNNNNNNNNNNNNNNNNNNNNNNNNNNNNNNNNNNNNNNNNNNNNNNNNNNNNNNNNNNNNNNNNNNNNNNNNNNNNNNNNNNNNNNNNNNNNNNNNNNNNNNNNNNNNNNNNNNNNNNNNNNNNNNNNNNNNNNNNNNNNNNNNNNNNNNNNNNNNNNNNNNNNNNNNNNNNNNNNNNNNNNNNNNNNNNNNNNNNNNNNNNNNNNNNNNNNNNNNNNNNNNNNNNNNNNNNNNNNNNNNNNNNNNNNNNNNNNNNNNNNNNNNNNNNNNNNNNNNNNNNNNNNNNNNNNNNNNNNNNNNNNNNNNNNNNNNNNNNNNNNNNNNNNNNNNNNNNNNNNNNNNNNNNNNNNNNNNNNNNNNNNNNNNNNNNNNNNNNNNNNNNNNNNNNNNNNNNNNNNNNNNNNNNNNNNNNNNNNNNNNNNNNNNNNNNNNNNNNNNNNNNNNNNNNNNNNNNNNNNNNNNNNNNNNNNNNNNNNNNNNAGGAAGAAAGGAGAAGAAGAGGGGAGAGGAAGAAGAGGAGAAAUAAAUAAGAAGAAGAAAAAAGAAGAAAAAGAAGAGGAGAAGAAGAAAGGAAUAGAGGAGAAGAAGAAAAAAUAGAAAAAAAUUCUAUUUUUUCUUCUUCUCCUCUAUUCUUUUCUUCUUCUCCUCUUUUUUUUCUUCUUCUUUUUCUUCUUCUUCUUCCUUCUUCCUUCUUCCUCUUUACUUCCUUUUUCCUUAUUUUCCUUUCUCGAGGGAUAAGAAGAAAAAGAAGAGGAGAAGAAGAAAGAAAGGAAUAGAGGAGAAAGAAGAAACUUUGACACGAGGGGGGGGUACCGAUACCCCCUCCCCGAUAACAUUAUUUUCCCAUGUAUAUGUAUGUUGCGUCGUUGUCGAUAUAACGAGGGUGUCGAGGAUCGCCGAGGGGUCGAGGGUCGGGAACUAGGGUAGAGGGUCGAGGGUCGUUAAGGGGUCAAGGGUCGAAGGUUUCAGGGUCGAGGGUUCCUAUAGUGUCAAAGUAUUGAAGAAAUCCAUGGCUUCAUCAUUAGCCGGAAGUAACCAUGGCAUGAUGGUACGAAGUCCUCCAAUGUUAUUCUGGAAUGGAGUCCUGAAUAGGAUAAUUUGCCUUUUUGUACAAAUCUCAGCAAAGGCCUUUCAAAUAACGAUAUUCGGAAGGUUCUUGCUGAACUUUGUACCAAAAAGCGAAUUAUCCUAUCUGGGAGUCCGUNNNNNNNNNNCUCCCCGAUAACAUUAUUUUCCCAUGUAUAUGUAUGUUGCUUCAUUGUCGAUAUAACGAGGGUGUCGAGGAUCACCGAGGGGUCGAGGGUCGGGAACUAGGGUAGAGGGUCGAGGGUCGUUAAGGGGUCAAGGGUCGAAGGUUUCAGGGUCGAGGGUCGUUAAGGGGUCAAGGGUCGAAGGUUUCAGGGUCAAGGGUUCCUAUAGUGUCAAAGUAUUGAAAAACUCCAUGGCUUCAUCAUUAGCCGGAAGUAACCAUGGCAUGAUGGUACGAAGUCCUCCAAAGUUAUUCUGGAAUGGAGUCCCGGAUAGGAUAAUUUGCCUUUUUGUACGAAUCUCAGCAAAGGCCUUUCAAAUAACGAUAUUCGGAAGGUUCUUGCUGAACUUUGUACCAAAAAGCGAAUUAUCCUAUCUGGGACUCCGUUCCAAAAUAACUUUGGAGAGCUUUGUACCAUCAUGCACCUGUUACUUUCACCUAAUGAUAAAGACAUGGUUUUGUUGAAUCCUUUGACACUAGGCAACCUCCCGACCCCUCGGCGAUCCUCGACCCCUUGACCCUCGACCGCUCGGCAAUCCACGACCCUCUACCCUACCGCGGGCGUCGAUGCCCACGUCACUUGUGGGACAUAGAUGUAGUGUUCAACGUCGACCCCCUCCCGAUAGCUUCAACACGUGGGGGGGUCGAUAUUACCCCUCCUUGAAGCGUUGUCGAGGCCACCCCCUAACCCUUGAAGCGUUGUCGAGGCCACCCCAAACCCUAGAGAAGCAGCGUUGAGGCCACUAAUAUGAUUCCUUAUUGUGAUUAGCUAGCUAGUUCUACGUUUUCCACUAAUAUAUCCAUAUCUGUCAUGUUUGAAUAAUAAUUGCCAUGUUGUAAAUAUUUGUAGAAACUAUGGACACCCCCCGAGACGAAGCACAAGAAGCGUUGUUGAGGGACAUAAUCCCACAAGGAAGUGAUGCCGUCUCCUCGUUGAUGUUUCUCAACGACAACGAUGGUCUGGAAGGAGAGGGUGAAGAAGCAGCUGGCUAUGAUUUACAUGGCUUCGAUGACCCAAUGCCGGUGCAAGAAGGAGAGGGUGAAGAAGUAGACCGUGAGGACGGCUCCGGUGAUCACCAAACCGAGUCCGGCCAGGUAUAUAUAUUAGUUAAGCCUGUGCUGACUAGCUAAUUGAUGCAUUCAUUGUUUUGGUAUGUACACAUAUUAAUUAACUCUCGUCUUUGUUCUUUUUUCUAGCCCUCCGGAUCGAGCACAACUUCGGUAAAGAGACGAGGCCCGAAGAAAAAGUUGAGCUCGGAUGAAAAGUUUGAGAUCAUACAAAUCGUGCGCGACGGCCAACCGAUUGAACCCUACCGGACAAAGAAGGCAUUUGUUGCUCAGUGCGGGCUUCUGGUUAGGGACAAGAUCCCGAUCAGCAUCCAGCAAUGGUAUAAGCGUAAGAACGAAGACCCUGAGGUGCCUUAUGUCAAUGAUAUGCAGAAAAAGAAUCUUUGGACUGAGCUGAAGUCAAAUUUCACCCUACCGCCGGAGGAUGAUCCGGAGAAGCCAGUUAUAGAGCCAUUAAUCCAGUCUUUUGCUCUGAAGAAGAUGGCAGACCUAUUCAGGAAUUGGAAGAAAGACCUCAAUAGGUAUGUCGAAAAAAAUGAGACACCAGAAUUCAUGGGCAAAUAUGAGAAGAUCAGAGAUGACUGGCCCGCAUUUGUGGCCUACAAGACAUCAGAAAAGAGUAAAAAGAUAUCGGCGAAAAACAAGAGAAAUGCUGAGAAGAAGAAGCUUCAUCAUCGCACGGGGUCAGGUGGCUACCUCGUAGCCCGGCCUAAGUGGGCCAAGGCUGAGAAUGAUCUGCUUGAUAAAGGGAUCGAACCAGAGACAAUGAACUGGCCAGAACGUUGCCGGACUUGGUUCUUUGGGGCCGGCGGAUCCUUGGACCCUAUAACAGGGAAGUGCAUUUGGACGGACGAACAAUUGGACAUACCAGUCAAGAGGCUUCAGCAAUAUAUCGAAGGAGCGCAACAAGGGACGUUUGUUCCAGACAGGGAGAAGGACGAGCUCACAAUGGCCCUCGGCAAUCCUGAGCACCCUGGACGGACACGAGGCACGCCAGGCUCCAUUUCGUGGAAGGCUGGAUUUCCGGACGCAGGGGGUUACAAAACCCAGGAGAGGAGGAAGAAACUGGAGCAGAGCCAACUGCAGGCGCUGCACGAAAGGGCAAUGGGGCUAGAGGAACGAGAAGCAGAUCGCAGAAAACGACCUGCCGAAGCUUCCCCCGAAGCUACCCCGCCAUCUCAGCGGAGAAGCAGCGUGGCUUCCACCGAGCUGCUUCAGCCAGAGCAUGCCUUGACGGCUCCUGCCAGCUAUCCCGUGGAUGCUAUCACGGAUGCUGAAAAUUGCCACCUUAUGGCGCAAUGGAGCAAUUUGAAGGUCAAGGCGGCUGUUGGCUCUGUUUAUCCUACUAAACCCGACUCAACUUUUCACUGCCGGCCGAUUCCAGAAGGAUAUGCUAAGGUGAUGGUCGAUGAAAUAACGGAGGGAUUUGAGGACCUCCGGCUUGACCACCCUACCGGUGAAGGGGAGUAUCGGCUGGGUUCUACUCUAAAGACUCCAUGCCUAUGGCGGAAGGAUCUCAUCAACCUUCCGAACUGGAUGCCUCCGCCUUCUCCUCCUCCUCCGGCGAGUCAGGGCACUCCGCCUCCUCCACCGCCUCCUCCUCCGGCGAGUGACGAUCAGGGCACUCGGCCGGCUCCUUCUCCGGCGCGUGGCGGCACUCCGCCUCCUUCUCCGCCUGCGCCGGCGCGCCCGAGCAGCCAGCCUCCUCCUUCUCCGCCUUGUCAGCAAGGGCGGAAGAGACCCGCCGCCGCUCCGGCUGCUCCGGCGCGUCGUAGUCCUUCUCCUCCGCCUCGUAAGCAAGGAAAGAAGACAUCCGCUCCGUCUACUCUGCCGGUGUCUAGCAGUACAUCCAAAGGCGGGAGGAGAUACAGAUUCGGUCCUUCUCUGAAGACUCCAGAGAAGUUACCGUACGAGAGGAGCGAGGAGGAAAACGCGAAGAUCGCGCAGACCGAAGUGGAUGACUGGUUUCAAGGGUUGAAAGAAAAGAGACAUCCACCUCCGGAGGAGAAGGUAGAUCCGGUGAAAGCGAAGCGCACUCUGGCUGCCCUGACAAAACCACCCAAGUCUCCGCCGAAAGGCAACUAUGAGCGCAUUAUUGGAAAGGCAUUUGCCGAAGCGGAGAGGUUGGGAAGUACUAAAAGUGAUCAAAGGAUGAAAGAACGACGAGCUGGGAAACAAAUUGCCCAGCUCGGCGAACAAGCGAAGCAAUCGUGCCCCCCGCUCAAGGUGCCUGCUAGCGACAUCGUCGAUCCGAGGAUGGUGCCCGGUUAUGGCAAUCCUGCAGAUUACCUGCCCGACGAUGUACAUUAUGAUAUCUUGGAGGUGCAGAUACAAAGAUACGAGUACGGGAAGCCUCUCGUCAAAGAUGAAAGUUCUCUAUCAACGAUGAUGCGAAGAUUGCAUGAUUGGUACAUGAAAACCUGCAAAGAGUCUGAGGGGAGGAGUACUUUGUAUGUGAGAGUUAAAAAGGAGCAUGACCUCCUUGGAAUUGAACUGUUGCCUAUUCCAUUUGAGGAGUUCUAGUAGUUUUUCAAUCAAUUGGCCAUCGAUAAAGCAACGUUCACCUCCUACUGUCUGUAAGUAGUACUACUUCUGUCAUUAAGUCUCUCUAUAUAACUCAGCCCUUUCAUUGCAUGUAUUUAUAAUUAUCCUCACUAUAUUAUGCAGAUUGAAGAUCGCCGAAUUGAAGAAAAGACAAGUGGGAGAUAUUGGGUUCAUUAACACGUAUCUCAUAGAUGCAACUGAGGUUCAAUAUCGUGCCCAAGAAACCGAGGCCAACUUGCUACGAUCAUUGGAAAUAAAUGAACACAAAGAUAUAAUACUCUUUUCUUACAACUUCAAGUGAGUGUUACUGUCUUGUGGCAUAUUUAGUUUCCUUAUUAGUCUAGGUUAUAGUAAUGUAAUAUUGAUGAGUUAUGCAUGUGUGCGCAGCUACCACUAUAUUCUCCUAGAGAUUAAGCUUGAGAAGGGAGUAGUAACUGUCUUAGACUCCAAGCGAAAAGAUCCCAAGGAGUAUGCGGACAUGACUGAAAUGCUCGAGAAGUAAGUUAAAUCGAUCAUUAUCCACCAUAUCAGCAACUUUGUUCAUUUCUGAUAUCAAGUAAUUGUUUUCUUUGUAUGGCAGGGCUUGGAGAAAAUUCACCAAAAAAGCUCCGGGACUACCGAAGAAGCUGCAAUUUAGGCACCCGAAAGUAAGUACUAUAUAGUAGCAUAUUCCAGGCAUCUCCUAGUGAUUCAAGCGCUAGUUUCAUCAAUACCAUUUAGCAUGCUUGCUAAUUAUCAGUUUGAUUGACCUCUAUUUCUUGUAAAGUGGUUGUGGCAGGAACAAGGAAAUGAUUUCUGUGGAUUCUACAUUUGCGAGUCCAUCCGCCACACGACCUGUGAGCGGGGCUACUCCGACAAACAAUAUGAAGUGCGUAAAUAACAAUAUUCACAAUUUUAUUUUAUUACCAUCAUUUGUGUUGAGUUUCAUUCAUUCAUAUAUACAUAUAUAUAUGUAUUGACCCCCUUCUUAAAAUUAGAUGUUUCGGAUGCGGGAUGAACUCCUAGCACCAGAUCGCGUGCGAGCAAUUCAAGAGGAAUUGGCGGCAUUCUUUCUUGACGACGUGAUCACUGAAGACGGAGAAUACUAUGUGGACCACGCGUCCGUAUUUUAGGAGAUUAUAUAUUUGUAAAAGAUAAUUAUUGUAUAUAUGUAGCCGGUAGUGUCGGAUAGAUAUACGAGAACUUGUUGUUCGACCAAUCUCUCGGAGAAGGAGAGGUGGUCGAUAUCACUUCUCUCUGCAUGCAUAUAUGUUCAUGACGAUCUUCUGUUUGCUUACUAGCUAGCUAGCGUGUCUAGCUAGUCCUCUCUAUACGUAUGUAUGGUACGUAGCAUUGACCAAGCACGGACAAAAGAGAGGACACUUCUCUCUAUUAAUUAGCUAGCUAUAGCAUAAUAUAUGAAACACCUAAAUUAACCCCCCNNNNNNNNNNNNNNNNNNNNNNNNNNNNNNNNNNNNNNNNNNNNNNNNNNNNNNNNNNNNNNNNNNNNNNNNNNNNNNNNNNNNNNNNNNNNNNNNNNNNNNNNNNNNNNNNNNNNNNNNNNNNNNNNNNNNNNNNNNNNNNNNNNNNNNNNNNNNNNNNNNNNNNNNNNNNNNNNNNNNNNNNNNNNNNNNNNNNNNNNNNNNNNNNNNNNNNNNNNNNNNNNNNNNNNNNNNNNNNNNNNNNNNAAAAAAAACAAAAACCCCAGCCACAGAAAUGCUGACGCGUGGAUGCCUAUUGGUCCCGGUUGGUGCCACCAACCGGGACCAAAGGCCCUCCUGCCUGGGCUCAGCGGACAGGCCACGUGGAGGCCCAUCUGUCCCGGUUCUGGAUUGAACCGGGACUAAAGGGUCAGGGCAUUAGUACCGACCCUUUAGUCCCGGUUCAUGAACCGGGACUAAAGGCCCUCACCAACCGGGACUGUAGGCCCUUUUUCUACUAGUGUAGUCACUAACUUAAAUGUCUAUAGCUGUUAUUUAGGCAUGAUACUUAUAUUAUGAAAGAACGGGAAAAUACACCAAUAGUUAUCCUAUUCAAUUCCUUAAUUUGCUUGUGCCAGUACUUAUGUUGAUCUUCGAAUAAUCUCAGUUCCUAUGAUUUCUGAAUGCUCAACAUCAGCAUUGUUUUCUGGUAUUAUAUAAUUGCUGCCACAUCUCUAUCCUGAAUUCCCUUAUUCCUAAUUCUUCAUCAGAAUAAAAUGCAACAUGUGUUCCCGUCCUAGUCUUUUUGGUGUCCUGCACAAUUAUCUCAUUGUCAGCAACAUGCUUAUACAAAAACAUCACAUUUUUUUGUUAAUUAACACAAAAUAAUAAUUAUAUAAUGUGGCAUGUGGUAGAUAGUGAACAAUAUAGAGCAUCCUAUACACAAUAAUCUUGGUAACUAUACUUGAGGUAUAGGCAUCUACCAAUUGUUGUGCACAUAUUUUCCGUAUUUGUUUGUCCUAUUGAUGUCACAAUCAUCCAUAUCUAUCCAGAAUUUUGCAGAUUUCUUAAUCAUUUUUUUUGCUCUACCUAAAACAUGGUGCAGAUUGUUGUUGCACCCAAAUAACAUGUCUCUAGCUUAUGUUUGUGCAUAUAAAUAGUAUGGCAUAUAUAGGCCUGUGCACGAUGAAUUACUAUCCAAAUAAUGAGACACUAUCAAAUGCGCCGUAGACAUUUCCGCUCUAAUUCUAUUUCACACAUGUGAUAUUAGAAGUUGUUGUCUUAUUUUUACACUUUUUUGUUGCAUUUGCAGCGUCCUAAGUAGUACAACUCUUCUGGUGUAAUAAUGAACUUCAUUGUUGCUUCUAUAUUACAGAACUUUCCCUCUCCAUUAGAGGUUAAAUUAGCAUAUAAGAAAAAUGUAACAAAAGGAAUGUAAAACAAAAUAAUAAGAAAUUCCCUUUUAAAUAUUCAUAAGUAAUUUCAGUUAUUUCUUCUAAUGUUCUUCUUUAUAGAGCAUCGUUUUGGGAGCUAAACAUGUUUUUGCAUGUACAUAAGUAUUGCUGGACGUGCUAGUAAAAUAUUUUUUUAUACAAUUUAAGGAGAGUAGUGUACAUGCACUGACAUUACUUUUGUAUAUACUAAAUAAAUAUACCCAUAGCAAUUCUUACAUCCCGUUAAUAUUAUACGCACAUGUUAUCUUUCUCAGAGUCGUUGAUAUUACCAUAACAAACAGGGCCCAAAGUACCUUGAUGGUUCUUUUUUUAUCUGUGUAUAUUCCAGGAGUCUUACCUAUUAACAACCAUGCGUACAUUGACUAAUUUAGUCCCUUAUAAUAUACUCACUCAAUUCGGACCAGAACAUCUUCAAUAUUCGAAUCACAUGAGUUGUGUGUUUGUUCAGUAUUUCCGAUGUAAGUUCCGAUGCUAACGACAUCUACUAUAUAAAGCGGUUUUAAUAUGAAAAGACCAUAUGAAUUCAUAAUCAACAAAUAUAGUUAUGCAAGAUAAGUAAAUUGUCAGGCAUGUUUGCUCGAAAGAACUUCAAUGCUAGAAAAUGAGCAUCUUAGUUCGGCUACCCCAAUUUUUUUAGACAUUUUAUAUCGUGAAAUUUCAUAAUGUGAAAAAAAAUCAGUAUCUUGUCGCCUUCAAAUGGAUGGAAAUUCCACAAAGAUGUAACCUAUUGCUACCAUGGAAACGGAAGAUUGGUAGACCAAAGGCAAUAUCUUGCUAACCAAUGUUUCAUUACCUUGCCAUGAAGCAAAUACAAUGCAUUAUGAUAUACAAAGAAGCCUAUAAAUUCAUAGUGACUUCUAUAAGUGAUAACUUCCUAUUUAAUCCAUUUCCUUGCUAAUUGAAUCAAGCAUAUCAGGUGCCAUUGCUUUCGAACCAAAUAAACAAAUAAAACAUGACUUCAAUACAUAUGAAAGGAAUACAAAAUUGUGGAGAUUAUUAGAGGCGCAAGCCGAGUACAAAACUUUGAUUAACUCUUGGUUGCCGUGAAAUAUGUAAACAAUGUGAACUGCAUACUCUACUAAUAUGAUUGAAAAAAACUGUAUAACAAAUCGCUAGGAAAAAUAUUUCAUUGCUUUCAGGGUUAAUGGCAUGCUAAAGCCUAAUUACCUUUCCAGGAAUGCUUUGCAUGAUUAUUCGCAUCGAGUAUAUUGCAGACCAUUUUUUCAACCUAAGACUGCAAAAAAGAAAUAAUGUAGAACUUGAAUAUAACAAAUUAAUGGAAUACAAAAAAGAUUAAUCGCUACAAAAACAAAAUUCUUAAGAUUAGUAGUUGUUUACUCUCUAGGGUAUUAGAGUUAAUCCCGUGUCCGCCAUGUAUGCAUGUGUAUCCUACAUGGAUGCGUAUGCCAGGUUAUUGUAUUAAGUCAAGCGUAGUAAUAUAUAUACAUGUAUGUACAUAACACUCCAUAUGUAAUCGAUAGUGGGAUCAAUAGAAAGAAAUCAAAUAGGACCGACAUGGUCCUGUGGCCAUCAAUUCGCUGUGUGCUCCUGUGUCGUGUGCGUGCGUUGUUUCUAGUGGAAAUUAUCCUGUUCAUCCGUAUGUACUGUCGUACACGCAUCAAGCCGGUGGCUCUACGUGUGUGAGUUAGCUUCAUACGUGUGACUUCGACGGAAUCCAUCCACCUGCAUGUCUGCUAGCUUCUGAAGCUAGCAUUGCACGUACACGCGCUACUCUCGUCAAUUGAUUUUUUGUUCUAAAACUAAAUUAGGGAAGCUGCUACCAAAUUCAAGGAUUUAAUUUGAAAAAAAAAGAGUAACACUACUAUCAAGUCAGUUCUUCAUGCAAUAAGUAAGCAACAUGUUUCAUCUAACCAACUGAACAAAUAAUUGCUAAAAAAAUAUUGGGUGGGAGGACGAUUCGCUAACCUGCGCAAUGACAGCAACCGACCAGAGACAACCUUGGCGCAGAGUGGGAGAAUCUUGGGCAGCGAUGAUGGGAAUAGUUCGUGUGCUCCGACCUGAUCUCUAUGAAGCAUCCAAAAUUUAUACGUGAGAAGAUUCAAAAUCCGAUCCGUGGAGACGGCAUAAACUGAUUCCACAUCCAAAGGAAAGCCAUGGUUGAUUUCGCUGUAAACCUGCAAGAAAAUAAAUUCAGAAUAAAUAGUGUGAAAAAAUAUGGAUCUAAUACAUUAGGAAAAACUUCUUGAGGACACAGAACCCAUCCUACGAUUUUGUUGUCCUGUGAGGCCGAGAGAGAUAAUGUAGAGAAGGAGAUCAUGGAUGGAUUUGUCUUCCAUCUAGGGGGGAGAGAGAUAAUGAAGAAGAAUAGAUCGGGAGCGAUAGAGAGAGAUGGAGACACUUGGACAUAAGUCACUCGCGUCUGCCCCCCGCUCGGGUGACUCGGGGGCUCCCCAACCCUAGCCGCCGCCGGGCCUAGCCCAUCUUCCUCCCCUCCUUCUGCCGCCGUCGGAGGAUGCCGCCGGCUUGUGCCCGGAGGCCAACGGCGGUGGCGGGGGUUCUUCCUCCCUCCUGCGUCUCAGGGGUGACGGGGCCCCAACAUGCGUGGAGGUGCGGCCGAUCUAGAUGCGACGGCGUUGGCUUCGACGACGACGGCGGUCGGCCCUGCCUUGGCUACGGGCGGCGGCUACGGCUGCUGGCCUGGAUCGGGCGGCGGCGCGAUGCGGUCUUCGGCGGCAUGUCAUCUGGUUUUAGAUCGGCGGCGGCGUCGAGGGCCUGGUGGACUGCUUGGCGGCACCCAUGGCAUAUCUGUUCUGGCCGGUGUAGCCAGUGGUGAUGGUCAUCUUCUUCGUCGGUGGUGGCCGGCCAGAAGCUUGGUGAUCGGAUCUCGAGAGCCAUCAUCUAGUCCCGGCUGCGAGUUGGGGAGACAUGGUUGCCGGUGAAAACCGAGCCGAUGGCAGGCGAUGGCGACGUUCUACGCUGUUACCUUGAUGAAGGCAUCGUCGUGUAACUACUGUCGACCCACUCGUGCUGCUCCGGGGGAAAUCUUAGGAUCUGGUGUUCCAGAUCGGACGAUGGUGGCACUACGGUGUCGUUUCUCUCUUGGGAGCAUCGUUUGUGGAGCAGUGCUGGAAGUCAGAGGCAGGAGGUGGAGCGGCUUCGUCUUGCACGGAGCUUCGGUGGAGAUGUCAAGUCAUGCCUGACCGACAGGUGCUACGCUUGGUCAUGCCUGGUCGGCAGGUGCUACGCACGACAGAUCUUCCAAGGUCAAGCUAUGUCGGCUGGUGGUACUUGGCAGCAUGGCGCUGAGGUAUAUCAGUGACGACCGCGACGUGCUCAGCUGUUUGCGCGCAGGGAGGAGGUGCCGUUGGGCGCCGUGGUGGCGUCGACGAUAGCUAGACCGAGCAAGGUUGAUGCAUCAGUACAGUUCUGAAGAUGGAGCGCUGGCAGUUGGCGGCGGCGGCCUCUGAGAGCACGCCGGACCAGUGUGUGCCCCAGACCCAGCAAGUGGCUAGGUUGGGAUUUUAGGUCUUAGAUGUUAGGCUUGGCUGCGAUGUCUGUUUGGUAUUAGGCCCAGGCUAUCUGCGCCCCUUCAUCAACUGGAUAGGUGUAGUGACAUUUGUUGCUUAGACGGCGGCUUUAGUCUUACUGUUGUAUGGCUUUGUAAGGUCUUGUGAGAAUAAUUAAUAAAGUGGCUGUAUGCAUCGCCCAAAUGCAGUGGCCAGGGGUCAUCCUCCUUUUCUAAAAAAAAAGAGAGAGAUGGAGAGGCGAGGCGAGGCGGCGGUGGAGGGAGAGCGAGAGAGAGAAGAGGCGAGAAGCGGUGGAGGGAGAGCAUCGCUGGAUGGACGCAAGGAGAUUUUUUUUACAAAGCUGAAUCCAUUUUUUUACAAAGUGCGUGGACAAUUUUUUUUAACCUGCGUGGACAGGUUUUGUAUCUAGAUUGAAUGUCAUCCCGUGAUUGUUGUGGACUCUUUGUUUUCAUUCAGAGAGACGUGAGAGAUUAAGAGAGUUUAGUUCUGGGAGAUAUGAGAGAGAUACGUGAGUUUUUUUAGUUCUAUGAAUCGAUCUACACCGUAAUAAUUCAGGCCCAUCAAAUUAACGGCUCGUAAAAUCUAAUUAAUGUGAGAAUUUUUAGGAAGUGCCUAAUUAGUAUAGGUAUAGAGGUAUAGAUAGAUAGAUAGAUAAAUGGCCGUAUGCAUCUGCCAGAUGCAGAGGUCGGAGGUUAUCCUCUUUUUCGAUUUUUUUUGAUAAUUUAAAUGAUUCAUAUAUAUUCAAACUAAAAUCCAUUUUUUGUUUUUUGUAUGUUGAAUUCCAUGCUACAUGGCCUUUAGAAUAAAGAUCAAUAUUAUAUGGCAUUUAAAUUUUUUUAAACUUCAUUAUUUCAACCAUAUUUCAAGUGACUGGAAUAUGUGUUAAAUAAUGUUUGAGAUGUGGGUCGCGACAUGGCCUUUAGCACUCGAUAGGUAGUCAAUCCAUGUAUUAUUGCCCAAAACAUCGUUGUUGAUGUAUACUGUUCAACCUUCUCCCACAGUUUGAACUUUCGAAACAACUAGCUGCAGCAUGAAUUCAAUAUGGUAUUAACGUCAGGAGGUCUUGAGUUGAAGACCCUGCCAAUGCAAUAUUAAAAAGGCGAGCUCUUUUACGGUGAUUGUGGAGUUACGAAACGUAAUUUCAUGUAACUACUCCUUUGAUUAUUCUCCACCGUUGAUUUAAACCUAUUAAGUAAAAAGAUUAAGUUUAAUCAACAAGGCUAUUAUGGUCAUGGGUGACUGUUUUUUUAGCACUUCUGUCAAUUCCCUUGUCAAUCGCCCGCAUCUGGCCUAACCCAUCUCGCGCGAGGACCUGGAGACGGCGGCGCAGGAGCGAGGACUAGGUGACGCCGCCAGCGCGAGAACCUGGAGGCAACGCCGCCGGCGCGAGGUCAUGGAGGCGAAGCCCAGUCUUUGCUUGGUCUUUGUGGCCGCUCCCUCACAGCCCCCCCCGACGCCGGCGCGAGGUCCUAACGACGCCGACCCGAGGUGGAGGCCCCGCCUGCGCUUGGUCGUAGUGGUGUACCAACGCAGCAAGGUAUCUCUUCCCCUGCCCCCAUCUCUUCCUUCCGUCCCUCUCUCCCUGCUGUUAGUUCUGUCGGCGGCGGACCAACUGCUCGUUGCAGCACCUUCAUAUAUAGAUCCGGUUAGGGUUGAGCAGUGAACACACCUCAUUUAGAUAUUCCAGUACUGAAAUUGGUGGGGGACAAACACUGACCUCUGAAUCGCCUAUUGUUAAUGACAAAAUGUUGGUAACAUAGUUUCAUUUGUUGAUGGAUUAGUCUGUCGGGUCAGACAUCUCUCGGAGUCUUGGCUAGGAUGGCAGAGAGAUACUACAUUUUUGUACUGAUUCAUGCGUAAUUAAGCUACCUGGUGAUGAAAAAUAGGUGCAACUUGAAGUGAUGAGUCGUUAAAUAUUCCUUGCUAUGAUAAAGUUUUCAGAACUAUGGAAAGUGUGUUAUAUGCUGCUUAGAGAUUGUAUAGCUGGAGGCGCCUAACAAUUGUAGAAGACAGUAUGCACUGGUUUUGUGUGUACAUCAGUGUAUCAUAAAUUCAUAAACUGUAGUAUCAAUCUUCUCAGUGCAAAACUGGGGACUACAAUUCCAUGGCACUCGCAUGCUGAGAACUUCAAAGAGUAAAUCAUGAGUCGUCAGUGAACUUUUGUUCCAAGCUCACUACUGCCCAGCGCCUGUGGUGGACAUUCAGGUAAAUCUCGAGUCGUCAGUGAACUUGUUGGUGUGUUAUUUUAGUCUAGCAAACCCGACAGUAAUGUGACUUUCUGUUUCAGAUAUUGAGAUAUGGACCUCCUUGUUGGAAAUUCGCCCACAGGAUCGAUCACAUCAAAUCACGAUGAACACGCACACGCAAAAACUGAUGGCCAAAGGCACGUGUCGUGCCCUCUUUUCUCCCUCUUUAUUUCUUUUCUUGUUUUCUCUUCACGGUGUUACAAAUCUCACGUUGGGGCUGUGCAUAUAUAGCAUAAACCACCGACCCUUUGACCUCUCCUAAGCCUACACGGACAUAGCAUAAAUUCCAAACCGGACUCAAGACUCCAAUUAUGACACGGACUAGCCUAAACCUAUAGCGCAUGUGAUCAAGAUCCUAACCGGACUCUCCUAAUCACCGGCAAGCUUGAUCACCUUUUGCUAACUAAACUUCAAACUUGUUUGGAUUAAGCUAACACUCCUCCGAUGAAGAAAGAGUUCCAUGGCUGCAAACCUAGACGACCUUGGGUACAUCAAGGAGAUGCAGUUCCAGUUCUAAGUUUCAACGGUGCAAGCUACCAAAAUAAUGGGUCGCAUGGCGGUUCUUAUUAUUUUAAGUUAGGCAUGAGCUGACUGAUACCAUUUAGCUCGUCCGGAAAAAAAUCCAUAGUCCAUGAAGUGUCAUUUCUGAUGAAUGAUAGCAAGCCUAAUUGAGAGAUUGUGUCACUGUACCGUGCCAGUUAUAUAAUGCAUGUUGUUCUGUGUCCAGUGUCACUUGUGUCCGUAAUGUUAUUAUUUGCUGAAAGACAGAAGACAACGGCUAGAUUAUAUCAGCAUGCCAGAAAUGAGUUGGUAUUUGAUGAACUGCUCAAGCAGUCAAGCUGUCGAGAAAUAAAUAUACAUCGUUUUAG